UAUACACUAAUCUAGAAUAAUUAUGAAUGAAUACUAUACACUAAUCUGUAAGAGAGUUACGUUGCUAACAAUUUGACUUUUAGUAAGAAACCAAGCGAUAAAGGCAAAGGCAAUAUAACUCUAAACUCUAUGAUAUAAACUCUCACAGAAUAAGAAUUGAAAAAUUGAUUAUAAAAUUCUUGUACGUACCCUUUCCGUGAAGAUACUAGUAGUUCUUUUGUAUCUCGCCAUGAAUUCAGGACAUGCAGAUAUCCAUAAUUCUUUCAAGGAUGGAAAUUCAAGAAUAUCAAGAUCUCCAGUGCAGAAGCUUGUGAUCUUUUCAAGAUCAGACAUCCCCAGAUAUUGCAACUGAGGAAACAUUACAAUAUUUUUCUUCCUUUCUUCUUGGUUGUCCAAGACUAUUAACUCUUCCAGGACAGGACAUUUACUUAUCUCAAUGCUUUGGAGUCGAACAAAGCUACUAACAGUAGAAGAUGAAAAUAGACAUCUUAAAUUCAUACAUCCGUGCAGGAUCAAGCGUGUUAAAUUCUGAUUACCACAAGACAUGACUGUAACUGGGCUCAGCCGAAUCCUCCCAACAUUUAUUGAAUCCAACGUCAACUUCUCUAACUCUGGUAACCGAACCUGCUCGAACAAAAAAUUAACUUGUUAAUUGCAAGUAAACGAUCAUUGAUUAUAAAAUUCUUGUACGUACCCUUUCCGUGAAGAUACUAGUAGUUCUUUUGUAUCUCGCCAUGAAUUCAGGACAUGCAUAUAUCCAUAAUUCUUUCAAGGAUGGAAAUUCAAGAAUAUCAAGAUCUCCAGUGCAGAAGCUUGUGAUCUUUUCAAGAUCAGACAUCCCCAGAUAUUGCAACUGAGGAAACAUUACAAUAUUUUUCUUCCUUUCUUCUUGGUUGUCCAAGACUAUUAACUCUUCCAGGACAGGACAUUUACUUAUCUCAAUGCUUUGGAGUCGAACAAAGCUACUAACAGUAGAAGAUGAAAAUAGACAUCUUAAAUUCAUACAUCCGUGCAGGAUCAAGCGUGUUAAAUUCUGAUUACCACAAGACAUGACUGUAACUGGGCUCAGCCGAAUCCUCCCAACAUUUAUUGAAUCCAACGUCAACUUCUCUAACUCUGGUAACCGAACCUGCUCGAACAAAAAAUUAACUUGUUAAUUGCAAGUAAACGAUCAUUGAUUAUAAAAUUCUUGUACGUACCCUUUCCGUGAAGAUACUAGUAGUUCUUUUGUAUCUCGCCAUGAAUUCAGGACAUGCAUAUAUCCAUAAUUCUUUCAAGGAUGGAAAUUCAAGAAUAUCAAGAUCUCCAGUGCAGAAGCUUGUGAUCUUUUCAAGAUCAGACAUCCCCAGAUAUUGCAACUGAGGAAACAUUACAAUAUUUUUCUUCCUUUCUUCUUGGUUGUCCAAGACUAUUAACUCUUCCAGGACAGGACAUUUACUUAUCUCAAUGCUUUGGAGUCGAACAAAGCUACUAACAGUAGAAGAUGAAAAUAGACAUCUUAAAUUCAUACAUCCGUGCAGGAUCAAGCGUGUUAAAUUCUGAUUACCACAAGACAUGACUGUAACUGGGCUCAGCCGAAUCCUCCCAACAUUUAUUGAAUCCAACGUCAACUUCUCUAACUCUGGUAACCGAACCUGCUCGAACAAAAAAUUAACUUGUUAAUUGCAAGUAAACGAUCAUUGAUUAUAAAAUUCUUGUACGUACCCUUUCCGUGAAGAUACUAGUAGUUCUUUUGUAUCUCGCCAUGAAUUCAGGACAUGCAUAUAUCCAUAAUUCUUUCAAGGAUGGAAAUUCAAGAAUAUCAAGAUCUCCAGUGCAGAAGCUUGUGAUCUUUUCAAGAUCAGACAUCCCCAGAUAUUGCAACUGAGGAAACAUUACAAUAUUUUUCUUCCUUUCUUCUUGGUUGUCCAAGACUAUUAACUCUUCCAGGACAGGACAUUUACUUAUCUCAAUGCUUUGGAGUCGAACAAAGCUACUAACAGUAGAAGAUGAAAAUAGACAUCUUAAAUUCAUACAUCCGUGCAGGAUCAAGCGUGUUAAAUUCUGAUUACCACAAGACAUGACUGUAACUGGGCUCAGCCGAAUCCUCCCAACAUUUAUUGAAUCCAACGUCAACUUCUCUAACUCUGGUAACCGAACCUGCUCGAACAAAAAAUUAACUUGUUAAUUGCAAGUAAACGAUCAUUGAUUAUAAAAUUCUUGUACGUACCCUUUCCGUGAAGAUACUAGUAGUUCUUUUGUAUCUCGCCAUGAAUUCAGGACAUGCAUAUAUCCAUAAUUCUUUCAAGGAUGGAAAUUCAAGAAUAUCAAGAUCUCCAGUGCAGAAGCUUGUGAUCUUUUCAAGAUCAGACAUCCCCAGAUAUUGCAACUGAGGAAACAUUACAAUAUUUUUCUUCCUUUCUUCUUGGUUGUCCAAGACUAUUAACUCUUCCAGGACAGGACAUUUACUUAUCUCAAUGCUUUGGAGUCGAACAAAGCUACUAACAGUAGAAGAUGAAAAUAGACAUCUUAAAUUCAUACAUCCGUGCAGGAUCAAGCGUGUUAAAUUCUGAUUACCACAAGACAUGACUGUAACUGGGCUCAGCCGAAUCCUCCCAACAUUUAUUGAAUCCAACGUCAACUUCUCUAACUCUGGUAACCGAACCUGCUCGAACAAAAAAUUAACUUGUUAAUUGCAAGUAAACGAUCAUUGAUUAUAAAAUUCUUGUACGUACCCUUUCCGUGAAGAUACUAGUAGUUCUUUUGUAUCUCGCCAUGAAUUCAGGACAUGCAUAUAUCCAUAAUUCUUUCAAGGAUGGAAAUUCAAGAAUAUCAAGAUCUCCAGUGCAGAAGCUUGUGAUCUUUUCAAGAUCAGACAUCCCCAGAUAUUGCAACUGAGGAAACAUUACAAUAUUUUUCUUCCUUUCUUCUUGGUUGUCCAAGACUAUUAACUCUUCCAGGACAGGACAUUUACUUAUCUCAAUGCUUUGGAGUCGAACAAAGCUACUAACAGUAGAAGAUGAAAAUAGACAUCUUAAAUUCAUACAUCCGUGCAGGAUCAAGCGUGUUAAAUUCUGAUUACCACAAGACAUGACUGUAACUGGGCUCAGCCGAAUCCUCCCAACAUUUAUUGAAUCCAACGUCAACUUCUCUAACUCUGGUAACCGAACCUGCUCGAACAAAAAAUUAACUUGUUAAUUGCAAGUAAACGAUCAUUGAUUAUAAAAUUCUUGUACGUACCCUUUCCGUGAAGAUACUAGUAGUUCUUUUGUAUCUCGCCAUGAAUUCAGGACAUGCAUAUAUCCAUAAUUCUUUCAAGGAUGGAAAUUCAAGAAUAUCAAGAUCUCCAGUGCAGAAGCUUGUGAUCUUUUCAAGAUCAGACAUCCCCAGAUAUUGCAACUGAGGAAACAUUACAAUAUUUUUCUUCCUUUCUUCUUGGUUGUCCAAGACUAUUAACUCUUCCAGGACAGGACAUUUACUUAUCUCAAUGCUUUGGAGUCGAACAAAGCUACUAACAGUAGAAGAUGAAAAUAGACAUCUUAAAUUCAUACAUCCGUGCAGGAUCAAGCGUGUUAAAUUCUGAUUACCACAAGACAUGACUGUAACUGGGCUCAGCCGAAUCCUCCCAACAUUUAUUGAAUCCAACGUCAACUUCUCUAACUCUGGUAACCGAACCUGCUCGAACAAAAAAUUAACUUGUUAAUUGCAAGUAAACGAUCAUUGAUUAUAAAAUUCUUGUACGUACCCUUUCCGUGAAGAUACUAGUAGUUCUUUUGUAUCUCGCCAUGAAUUCAGGACAUGCAUAUAUCCAUAAUUCUUUCAAGGAUGGAAAUUCAAGAAUAUCAAGAUCUCCAGUGCAGAAGCUUGUGAUCUUUUCAAGAUCAGACAUCCCCAGAUAUUGCAACUGAGGAAACAUUACAAUAUUUUUCUUCCUUUCUUCUUGGUUGUCCAAGACUAUUAACUCUUCCAGGACAGGACAUUUACUUAUCUCAAUGCUUUGGAGUCGAACAAAGCUACUAACAGUAGAAGAUGAAAAUAGACAUCUUAAAUUCAUAAUUAAAAUAAAAAUAUUUAAUAUAUUUUAAUAAUAACAUUAAUUUUAAUCAUAACAAGAUAAAUAUUAAUAAUAAUGAAUUAAUUACAGUAUAAUAACAAUUAAAAUAAUAAAAGUAAUAAAUUUUAAUAAUAAUAAUAAUGACAAUAAUAAUCAUAAAUAAUAAUAAUUAAAAUAAUAAAAUUUAAUAGCAAUAUAACUCUUAAGCUUUAUGAUUUAAACUUUCACAGUACAUACAUAAGAAUUGAAAAAAUGAUUAUAAAAUUCUUGUACGUACCCUUUCCGUCAAGAUAUUAGUAGUUCUUUUGUAUCUCGCCAUGAAUUCAGGACAUGCAGAUAUCCAUAAUUCUUUCAAGGAUGGAAAUUCAAGAAUAUCAAGAUCUCCAGUGCAGAAGCUUGUGAUCUUUUCAAGAUCAGACAUCUCCAGAUAUUGCAACUGAGGAAACAUUACAAUAUUAUUCUUCCUUUCUUCUUGGUUGUCCACGACUAUUAACUCUUCCAGGACAGGACAUUUACUUAUCUCAAUGCUUUGGAGUCGAACAAAGCUACUAACAGUAGAAGAUGAAAAUAGACAUCUUAAAUUCAUACAUCCGUGCAGGAUCAAGCGUGUUAAAUUCUGAUUACCACAAGACAUGACUGUAACUUGGCUCGGCCAAAUCCUCUCAACAUUUAUUGACACCAACUCCAACUUCUCUAACUCUGGUAAUGCAACCUGCACGAUCAAAAAAUUAACUUGUUAAUUACAAGCAACAAUGAUUUCUGUUGAUGGACAAAUCAAUAAAAUUACUCUUUCUCUGGUUAUAGUUCUUUUCAGUUUUUCAUACAAACAACCGUUAAUCAAGUUUNNNNNNNNCAUGUAAGACGAUUGAAGUGCAAUGCUUUAUUGCACUUCCGUCCGACCAUUCCCUGCAACCAUCAACCUGCUCAUUUGUAGCAGUAAACACAUUUCGUUCAGUAGAUGCAAUUGAUAUGGCGACAUCGCGAACUACAUCAUGCAUAGAAAACAACUCUUUCUUCUGGCUUAUAUGGUCAAGCAACAUACAAGAAGCUUUGAGUGUGCGCACCAAUGUAUGUACUCGAUUUCGUGCUGCUUCCAUCUUAUUCACACCUUGAAAUAAACUCAAUCCCAUACCACACAUUAACAGUUCGUCAAUAGAUGCUAUGGCUGUAUAUCCUAUUAGCAAAAAGAUGUUCUUCAGCUCCUCCCCUACCAAUUUGUCGUAACUCAACUUUAUGGCUUUAUAUGCAUCUGGCUGUACAUGCUUAAAAUUCGAUGAAGAGGGCCUUCCUAGUUUUUCCAAUGCAUCCUUCCAUUCCUGUAUGUUCUUGUUCCUUAAUGCCCUUGCAACCGUCACAAUGGAAACUGGCAGACCUGCACAUCCCUUUGCCACAUCCCUUGCUACCGAUUGGAAUUCACUACCUUCAAUAUAAUCACCUGCCAUCUUCUUGAAUAGAUUCCAAGCUUCUUCUUUGUUUAAAACACCAAUUGAGAAAUUUGUUCGACAAUCCAUCUUCUCAGACAAUACAUUUAGACUUCUGGCCGUCAACAAUACUUUACAACCAUCUCCAAGAGGAAUUCGGACACUCCCCAAAUUAAGAUUUUCCCAAAUGUUGUCUAAAACUAUCAGGAUCUUCUUCACUUUUUUUAUACCUUCAUAUAAGCUGCCUGCCCUUCCUUCAUCACUUUCCUCAUGCAACUUCAGGCCUAAUUUAUCUGCGAUUACUCCUUGAAUCUUUCGUAUGUCUUGAUUCUGAGACACCUCAACAAAAACCACCUGAUCAAAGAGUUUGUCACUCUUGACUUUCCUAGCAACUUCUUCGGCCAGCAUCGUCUUUCCGAUGCCACCCAUUCCAUAAAUCCCAAGCAUGUUGACAUCGCGAUCUUCUAGUGCACUGAGUAUACUCCUCAAAGUGGACAUUCUUGAUUCAAAGGGCUCGUAGUCUUUGUUAGGGAUAAAUUUUUUUAAAAGGUAAAAGAGCGUACAAAACCCAAAUUCAUUUUUUUAGUCCCUUACUCUCCCAUGAUUCAAACUUCACUUUUUUUUUCUUUUUCUUUUUUUUCUUUUUUUGUUGAGAGAAAAGAGAAGAAGGAUAUUACAAAGCAUGAAGCUCGUGCAAUAUAAGGGCAAUUAUGGUUUUUUCUUUAAAUUAAAAUGGUAAGAUUCUGAAGCUAAAAGAUUAAAAUAUUAAUUAAAUUGCAAACAUUAAAGAUUUUUUUUCCAAAAUUGGUUGCUUUGAAAAUGAGAAUAAUAUAAUAUUUGAAGACUUUUUCAAAAUUAAUUACUGUGAUGCACUAGAAAUUUAUAGCUUUAGUCUAAUGUAUAAAUUGACAAAACGAUAUUAGAAUCCCAGGUGAAAAGAACCCUCUCAUACCAUUUUCUUAAAUUAGGAAUGAUCAUACCUCUGACUCUGCCGGACUGAGGGCGAGGCGUGAACCCCUCAUACGGAGACGCUUGAGAUGGGAAGAGCCUACUUUGACUAACUCGUUACGAAAAUAAUCGACAUCUUGCUCUUGCAAUCUACGUAAUUCAAGGUCUUCAAUUCUCUGCAGUUGCACGAUCAGCGAAUCCUUCAAGCGAAUCUUGUCAUUUAGCUCGAGUCUGAAUUCACGACACCAAAUGCCAGUGCUCUCCCAAUAUUCCCAACCCUCAUCCUCAUCCUCAUCCUCAUCAUCUCCAAUGCGGAUGAUAUGUAUGCUGUACCUUUCCAGCUUCUCCAAGAGCAGGCCUCUGGGCAGAGUGCCGACGUCAUAGACGUGUAAUUCCAAAGAGGUCAAGUUGGGUAAAUGCUUCAACUCCUCAAGGCUUGCAUUCUUAACCCCUUCCACCUCCACCUCCCAAUCGGCAAAGUCAAAGAGUUCACUAGCUAUAUAUAGUUCUUCUAAAUGGGAUAAUUUUGACAGUAUAUUUGGUGGAAUAACUUUUAGUGCAAAACAAUCUCUCAAAUCAAGCAACUUUAGCCAAGUCAAUUCACCUACUUCUACCGGCAACUUCUUAAUAUAAGAACCUCUUAAGCAAAGGAUUUCUAGUUUCUUCAAGUCUCCUACAACACUUAUAUCAGGCAAACUGCAGCGACACAAACUCAGUGUUCGAAGGUUUGACAGGAGACCAAGUGAUGGAGGCAGUGACCGUAUGUAAGUCAAGUUUACAACUCUGACCUCGAUCAUGCUCUUGAAAAGGUUGUCUGGAAUUGUUACUGGUGAGGUUUCGCAAGGAUCAUCACUAAUAAAAAGAAGUUCGAGCUGAGGACAUUCCAGUACUUUAGGAAGCAAAUUAGGCUUGAUAUCAUGUAUGACGAUUGAAGUGCAAUGCUUUAUUGCACUUCCGUCUGACCAUUCCCUGCAACCAUCAACCUGCUCAUUUGUAGCAGUAAACACAUUUCGUUCAGUAGAUGCAAUUGAUAUGGCGACAUCGCGAACUACAUCAUGCAUAGAAAACAACUCUUUCUUCUGGCUUAUAUGGUCAAGCAACAUACAAGAAGCUUUGAGUGUGCGCACCAAUGUAUGUACUCGAUUUCGUGCUACUUCAAUCUUAUUCACACCUUGAAAUAAACCCAAUCCCAAACCUUAUAUUAUAUUAUGUUUCCAUAUUUCUCCUUUAUAGUGAAGACUCGUACUUCUUCUCUAAUAAAUGCUAAAGUAUUGGCUUAAAUUUUUUAACCGGCACAGUAGACCCUUAAGCUAUAUAUACUAUAAUGUCCCUCUUCUCUCACAGAUUAAACCAAUCUGAUCUCAGAGUGAGUUGAUACCAUGACUUUGCAUCAUUCGUGAUCAAAGGAGCAUCAUUACUAACUAAUAUAGGCUCGAUCAAUAGGCAUGAUAAUAAUUUUUUUUUAUCUACAAACACUAUUUUUCAAAAUAUUUUAUCUUAAGACUAACUAAAUAUUUUUUAACUAUGUAGAUAUAGGUUGUUUGAUCUCUUUUAAAUAGUGGAGAUUACAAACAAACGGAUGCGAAUUAGUAGUGAUGUUGAGUUCAGAAGAUUGAAGUUAAGAAAAUUAAGGGUUUCUUGAUCUAGGGAAAUUUCAAAAGAGAGGCAGUGACCGUAUGUAAGUCAAGUUUACAACUCUGACCUCGAUCAUGCUCUUGAAAAGGUUGUCUGGAAUUGUUACUGGUGAGGUUUCGCAAGGAUCAUCACUAAUAAAAAGAAGUUCGAGCUGAGGACAUUCCAGUACUUUAGGAAGCAAAUUAGGCUUGAUAUCAUGUAUGACGAUUGAAGUGCAAUGCUUUAUUGCACUUCCGUCUGACCAUUCCCUGCAACCAUCAACCUGCUCAUUUGUAGCAGUAAACACAUUUCGUUCAGUAGAUGCAAUUGAUAUGGCGACAUCGCGAACUACAUCAUGCAUAGAAAACAACUCUUUCUUCUGGCUUAUAUGGUCAAGCAACAUACAAGAAGCUUUGAGUGUGCGCACCAAUGUAUGUACUCGAUUUCGUGCUGCUUCCAUCUUAUUCACACCUUGAAAUAAACUCAAUCCCAUACCACACAUUAACAGUUCGUCAAUAGAUGCUAUGGCUGUAUAUCCUAUUAGCAAAAAGAUGUUCUUCAGCUCCUCCCCUACCAAUUUGUCGUAACUCAACUUUAUGGCUUUAUAUGCAUCUGGCUGUACAUGCUUAAAAUUCGAUGAAGAGGGCCUUCCUAGUUUUUCCAAUGCAUCCUUCCAUUCCUGUAUGUUCUUGUUCCUUAAUGCCCUUGCAACCGUCACAAUGGAAACUGGCAGACCUGCACAUCCCUUUGCCACAUCCCUUGCUACCGAUUGGAAUUCACUACCUUCAAUAUAAUCACCUGCCAUCUUCUUGAAUAGAUUCCAAGCUUCUUCUUUGUUUAAAACACCAAUUGAGAAAUUUGUUCGACAAUCCAUCUUCUCAGACAAUACAUUUAGACUUCUGGCCGUCAACAAUACUUUACAACCAUCUCCAAGAGGAAUUCGGACACUCCCCAAAUUAAGAUUUUCCCAAAUGUUGUCUAAAACUAUCAGGAUCUUCUUCACUUUUUUUAUACCUUCAUAUAAGCUGCCUGCCCUUCCUUCAUCACUUUCCUCAUGCAACUUCAGGCCUAAUUUAUCUGCGAUUACUCCUUGAAUCUUUCGUAUGUCUUGAUUCUGAGACACCUCAACAAAAACCACCUGAUCAAAGAGUUUGUCACUCUUGACUUUCCUAGCAACUUCUUCGGCCAGCAUCGUCUUUCCGAUGCCACCCAUUCCAUAAAUCCCAAGCAUGUUGACAUCGCGAUCUUCUAGUGCACUGAGUAUACUCCUCAAAGUGGACAUUCUUGAUUCAAAGGGCUCGUAGUCUUUGUUAGGGAUAAGCCGAAUAUCCUCUGGAGCAGUACGGUAGGAAAUUCUAUCAAAUCUUCUAGCGUCCAGGACUUUGACAACAGCCUCCUUCUGCCUCUCUGCUUCCUUGCUAAGUCGACGGCGGGUCUUCAAAUUAGGUAUUAACCCCUUGAAACAACGCUUAUUUUCAAUGGCUUCAUCGUCUGUAAAUUUAUCUGCCUUAACAAUGACAUCAUUUGCCCCUUCGAGCCAAUUCUCAACGUUCUCUUCAAUCGCUUCCCCUUUUGUUUUAGCCUCAGCAACCCGGUGCUCUAUACUAACCUUCUCAGACUUCAGAUUGUCAACUUCAGUCUUGAGAUUGUCUAAGAUGCUCGUGUACUUACUCUCACGCAAAUAGCUAAUUUGGCGAUAUGCGGGAGGAGCCAAGCACUUCACAACUUCUACAACAAUAGUAAGAAUGAUUUCAGCCAUCUUCAAUCCUUUGUCCUUGUCUCUCUAUCUCUCUUUUUUCUGAAUUUGUGAAAAACAAUUGAUCCAGUUAGGAAGCACACUGAGUGAUUGAACACAAGUGACCACAACAAGAUGGAACAAAAUUAAAAGGAAAAAAAUAGAAAGAGUGGAUGGAGAAUAAAACAGAGACAGCGGCACAGCUGGACACAACUAGAUAGAGAACAGAGGAAAACCAAAUAACAAGACUUAAGAUUACAACAAACAGAGGCCAAGUAUUGUUGAGAUCAGAAGAUGGAAAAUUCAAAAGAGUUGAUGACAGAUGCUGAAUAACAGAACAACAAUGAACGCAAUAAACAGAAGCAAAGUGUGGUUGUGAUCGACAGACGGAAGUAAGGAAAAGCGGUUGUCGAUUGAAAAUGAAUGAAUGCAAGGAAAGACUGAUAUUGAAAAUUGACGUCAAUAGCGAAGGAAUAAUUGAACUUUCGCUUAAUUAUUGUUUGUGGCCUUGUUUUACUUUUUAUUUGUGGGUCAUGUCUUUUGGAACUAAUCAUCUUAGCUUAUGCUUUACAGCUUUAAGGCCAGUAACCGGUGUCCGUUGGAUAAGCAUAUAGAAAUCCAACGGUGGAUAUAUAUCCUUGGGAAUAAAAUUCAAGAGCAAAGGGAGUGCUGGGCUGCAGUUUCUUAAGGAGAUUUAUAUAUCCUCCUCAAAAAUAAAUGUUUUAAGGUAGAUAUUUAGACUAUUUCAUCAUAAAAUGAAUGUAAUUAAUUUUCAAUAAAUAUCUUAUAUAAAUAUUUAUUUAUUUUUUUAAUUACUAAUGACCUUUGAAUAUACAUAUAUACAUAUCACUAAUUCAAAAAUAAAUUGUGAUUAUUUGUUAAUAUAUGCGAUUACUUGUGAUGGUAAACAAAGUAGAUAUGGUAUAUUUUGAAGUUAAAUUAAAAAAAAAAAAAACAGAGCUUUUACCAUUACUUGCCUUAUCAUCUUUUAAAUUAGAAUUAUUAUUCUUUUAUUUUUCAAGUUGCCAACUCAUCCGCAUUCUCUUGUAUUGAAUUUGAAGAUCAAUGAUUAUAAAUUUGUGUGAAAAUUUUAAGUCAAAACUUUAAAUUAAAAUAAUCUUUAAGUUAUUGGGAAAUAAUACCUUAGUAUAACAAAUAUUAUAUCCUAUACUUUAUUGCUACAAAAUUACGAAACCUUAUAUUAUAUUAUGUUUCCAUAUUUCUCCUUUAUAGUGAAGACUCGUACUUCUUCUCUAAUAAAUGCUAAAGUAUUGGCUUAAAUUUUUUAACCGGCACAGUAGACCCUUAAGCUAUAUAUACUAUAAUGUCCCUCUUCUCUCACAGAUUAAACCAAUCUGAUCUCAGAGUGAGUUGAUACCAUGACUUUGCAUCAUUCGUGAUCAAAGGAGCAUCAUUACUAACUAAUAUAGGCUCGAUCAAUAGGCAUGAUAAUAAUUUUUUUUUAUCUACAAACACUAUUUUUCAAAAUAUUUUAUCUUAAGACUAACUAAAUAUUUUUUAACUAUGUAGAUAUAGUUUGUUUGAUCUCUUUUAAAUAGUGGAGAUUACAAACAAACGGAUGCGAAUUAGUAGUGAUGUUGAGUUCAGAAGAUUGAAGUUAAGAAAAUUAAGGGUUUCUUGAUCUAGGGAAAUUUCAAAAGAGUGAAGCGUCCUCAAAAUCGGAAGACGAAAAAUAAGGAAAGGGUAAGGGUGUAUUUUCAAAGUAAUUCUAUUAGUAGAUCUUUGAAGUAGGGGUGGGCAAAUCAGGUUAGUUCGGUUUAAAACGGAUUGAAACAAUUUAAUCCAAAAAUUCUACCAACAACCACUUAAAAUCCAAAAAUCUUAAUUCCAAACAUCCUUAAUAACAAAUAUCAACUACAAACCAUCAUUAACAAUAUUUCAACAAUAACAAUAACAAUAAUAACAACAACAACAACAAUAAUAAUAACAACUAUGAAUUAGCAAUUCAGCAUAUUGCCAUAUUCUAAAUUUAAAAAAAAAACACAAAUUAAUUAAUUAACAAUCUCCAAUUUAAUUUAUAAUAACAGCAAAAAUCCUCCCCAAUUUAAUUAAUAUCAGUCUCCAAUUAUUCAAUUAUCAGUCAAUAGCAACAAACCCACUCCAAUAUAAUUAUAACAAUCUCCAAUUGUUCAAUUAUCAGUCAACAACAACAAAUCCUCUCCAAUUUGUCACGAACAGCCUCUAAUUGUUUAAUUUUCAGUCAACAACAACAAACUCACUCCAAAUAAUUGAACAAUUGUUAAUUAAUUAAUUAAAAAUAUCCAAUUUAAUUAAUAACAACACCCAAGAGCAAGUCAGCAAUAAACCCACUCCAAAAUCCAAAUAUCAGUAUAAACUAAGUGUCAAACCUUGAUCGGUGGGAAGCUACAACGUCGGCAAAGCGUGACCAUGUGGGGCUGAGUGAGACCGUCGACCGAGGGUGUGUGAAGGGAGAAGAGGGAGCAGGGAGGUAACGUGGUGUGUGUGAGUUUAUAUAUAUAUAUUAAAAGCUAAAACUUAAAAAAAAAAAUUUAACUCAAUCCAAACGCACACCUAGAUUACUUCCGUUAAGAGCUGAAUCCCACACUCUUGAGCCUUUGUCGUUCCAGUCAACUAUAAAAACAAAUCAUUAUUGAGUGUGAACAGACUUAUUGAUCACCAAAUUUUCAAACUUGUCAUCCUUAUUGAAUCUGCGUUCCCUUUUAAUAAAAUUUAAAAAAGUACAAAUAAUGAAACAAAGUUAUGUUCCUUCAACAGUUGAUAGAGUUACGCGGCUUCAACUUGCAAGUCCAGUCGGCAUUUUCAAACUUGUAAUACCCUUACAACUUGCUUUCCAAGAUAGCUAUAAUUAAUAAUGACAAUAGUCUCCCCUAUAGCGACUAGUGAGCAACUUGUUUCGUGAAAUUAACGGCAUCUUCUCUCGCAUUUUAAAAAAAAAUUGAAUUAUAUAACCCACCAAAACUAUAAAAGAAUUGUUAGUUUUUCUUCAUUAAAAUUAAUAUAUUGCUCCUCAUAUUGAAAAAUCAAAAUUCAGAAUAAGAAUGAUUGAUACUUUUUAUUUACUAAAAUGAAAAUAAAAUAUAUGAAGCCUACAUAUUUUUUAAAUUAAAAAAUAAGAACUUUAUUUUCUACGGGGAGUGUUGGGAAUCAAGUUCUCAUUAUUUAAACUCUCAAUUGUACUUCAUCGAAAUUUCAUAAUUUCACUUUUGUUCUCAAUUAAAAUAUUAUUGUAGUUAUUAUUCUUAUUUUUAUAGUUGUUGUUGAUGAUGAUGGUGAUAAUGAUGAUGAUGAUGAUACAAGAUAAUAAAAUUAAUGAUAAUUAAACCAAUUUGAAUUCAGAGUGAGUGAGUACCAUUACUUCGCAUCAUUUGAUAUCAAAGGAGCAUCAUUACUAACUAAUAUAGGCUCGAUCGAAUUCAUUAUGCGAAGUAUAUUAUCGGCUGUAGGUAUGGAAAUAAAUUUUGUAUCCACAAACACUAUUUUUCAAAAUAUUUUAAGACUUGACUUAGCAUUUUUUAACCAUAUAUGUAUAGGUUGUUUGACCUAUUUUAAAUAGUGGAGAUUACAACAAAUGAACAGAUGUGGAUUUGUAGAGUUGUUGAGUUCAGAAGAUUGAAGUUAACAAAGGGUUUCUUUAUCUAGAGAAAAUUCGAAAGAGCGAAGUGUCUUCGAGAUCAAAAGACGAAAUAAGGAAAGGGUAAGGUUAUACUUUCAAAAUGAAUCUGUUGAGAGAACUUUAAAGAUUACUUCCGUUAAGAGCUGGAUCCCACACUUGAGUCUUCGUCGUCUCAGUCAGUCAACUAUAAGGACAAAUUAAUUUUGAGUGUGAAAGGACACAAUUGAUCACCAAAUUUUCAAACUAGUGAUCCUUAUUGAAUCUACAUUCCCAUUUGAAAAACAAUAAAAGAUUAACAUUAAUUUAACUUCAUCUAAAUUCCCAUUUGAAUCUGCAUUCCCAUUCCCUUGUUCUCUGGGAAUGCACAUAAUCAAACAAAAUCCUAUCCGCAUUUUCAAACUCGUGACCCUUCAAGCUUUCUAUGACAACUAUAAUGAAUAAUUACAACAAUGCUACCUAAUAGUGAGAACUUGUUUGAUGAAAUUAACAGCUUCUUUUCUCUCAUGUAUUUUAAAAAAAAUUAAAUUAUCAAAGUUUUUAUUUCAAAAUUAGUGCUAUAGUUCAUUAAUUUUUCAAAUUUUCCUUUUUCUUUCCACACAACAGAUUGAUUUGCCCUCCAAAAAAUGUAUUAUAUUGUUUAAUAUUGUAACUUCAAGAAACUUAUAAUAAAUUUUUAAAGAGAUAAAUAGAGAAUAUCAGUCUCCCAUCUACUCAAAAUUAAUAUAUAUCAUUAACUCUUGAUUAUUUUUAUAACAACUAAUAACUUUCUUGGCAGCAUAAUUUUACAGUAUCAUCCUUGUUUGACGUUUGUAAGUAUAUUUUUAUUCAUAUUUAUUAUAAAUUAAUUAAAUCAUAUCAAUGAAAAUUGAAAUAAAAAUUGAAGUACUACAAAUUAAAAAAAUAUGUUUUGGUGUGAAUAAAAAAUUGAAAAUAAAAAUAUUUUUCUUAUAUUUUUUGUUAUUUUUAAAUUUUUCUUAUAAUAAAUGUAUAUUUUAUGUGCUCAACUUUUUCUUUAAAUUUUUGUUAUUAGGAGGAUUUUUAGAUAUAAUGAAAAUUGUAAAGUAGUAAGUAAUAUAUAAUAAUUUUAAUAGAGAAAAGUAAAAAAUCUCUUAUUUUAAAAUACAAGGAGAAAAAUAAUUAAUUUCAAGACAUUUUAGAAGAUAUUUCAAUAUGCGGUGGACCACAAACUCGAGUCUUUGUCAUCUCAGUCAAACUAAAAGGACAGAAUAUUGAGGGCAUGGCUAACGUGCAGAAGCUACAAGUAACAGCUUCGAACUUUCCCAUUUCCAUCACCUUGCAUUGGGAGUUUGGGACCUCUUUCUCUCUCCUCUAGCAGCCGUGGAAGUUCCCCAUUGGCUACUGUUACUUACAGAAGCUGUAACAUAGACUUCUCCGAAUAUUGACCGCGAAGGGCUCAAGUGAUUGUUCAUUUCACAGCAAUUGCCUUUUUUCUUUUUUUCUAAUUAUUGGGAAAUAAGAACUUAGUAUAACAAAUAUUAUAUCCUAUACUUUAUUGCUAAAAAAUUACAAAACCUUAUAUUAUAUUAUGUUUCCAUAUUUCUCCUUUAUAGUGAAGACUCAUACUUCUUCUCUAGUAAACGCUAAAGCAUUGGCUUAAACUUUUUAACCAGCACAGUAGACCCUUAAGCUAUAUAUACUAUAAUGUCUCUCUUCCCUCACAGAUUAAACCAAUCUAUCUCAUAGUAAGUUUGCAUCAAAGGAGUAUCAUUACUAACUAAUAUAGGCUCGAUCAAUAGAGAUGACAAUAAUUUUUUUAUCUACGAACAUUAUUUUUUCAAAAUAUUAUAUCUUUAGACAUAACUAAAUAUUUUUUAACCAUAUAUGUAUAGUUUGAUUAAAUAGUGGACAUUACAACAAAACAUAUGCGAAUUAGUUGUGAUGUUGAUUUCAGAAGAUUGAAGUUAAAAAAAUAAAGGGUUUCUUGAUCUAGGGAAAUUUCAAAAGAGUGAAGCGUCUUUUAGAUCAUGACGAAAAAAAAGAAAGGGUAAGGGUGUAUUUUCAAAGUGAUUCUAUUGAAAGAUCUUUAAAGAUUACUUUCGUUAAGAGCUGUAUUCCACACUCUUGAGCCUUUGUCGUCUCAGUCAACUAUAAAGAUACAUUAUUAUUGAGUGUGAACAUUCCGACUUAUAGAUCACCAAAUUUUUAAACUUGUGAUCUUCGUUGAAUCUGCAAUCCCUUUUGAAAAAAAAAAAAAAAAAAGGGGAAAACUGCAAAUAAUGAAACAAAAUUCUGUUCCUUGAUAGAGUUACGCGGCUUCAACUUGCAAGUGCUGUCGGCAUUUUCAAACUUGUAUGACCCUUCAACUUGCUUUCCAAGAUGGCUAUAAUUAAUAAUGACAACCGAAGACGGCUACGUUUGCGGUACAAAAGUUGCACCAUAUUAGACGUUCUUUUUUGUUCUUAUCCGAAGUAACCGUUGGAUUCAAAGGAAAGUGAUCAGACAUUCAAUAGCUUCACACGUGGACAUUAUAGGAUACCGGUCAAAUCGGUUAGUGCUCCUCCUCAAUCAAACUCACAAGCAUGGCUAUCAUCGUAUCAGCUUGGAAACUUGUUACAAGUGACUAAGAGCAACAGGGUCCGCUCCUCUAGAGUCGGUUAGUGCUCAAUAAUGUUACAGGUUUUAUAAUCUAUGUAACUGGUACGAUCGCUGUCUCAAGUGGUAAACUUUUGAGGCACAAAUUUAGAACGAAAAGUUCCCAAUAAAAUAAGUUAUUUAAUUAAUUAAAUAAGAAUAAAAUGAAUUUGUGAAAAAAAAUUUAAAUUUAAUUUUGAAUUAUUUUGACCAAAAUUUAAGUUUUUUUUUUUAAUUUGUUUAAGAAAAUGCGUUGUAAUUGUCUUGUUUUAAUUGGAAAAUCAAUGAAAAAAUUAUGUAAAAAAAAAAAGCAAAACGCUUUGUUUUGGAUGGAGGCCAUAGAUUCCAAUAUUUCCUUCACGAAAACUACAAAAAAAUUAUCAAAGGCAUCAAUUUCUACACUCUCACCGAGCAAUACUCUUAACCCAGAAGAAAGUGUAUAAACCAACCCCAAUCAGUCCAUCAAUGUCGUCAACCUCAUACAGCAUAAAAAAAAUAUGUGUCCAUUAAACCGUCUUUAUUGAGCCAUUAGACUAUUCGUAUCAUCUUCCCGUCUCGUUGUAGUAUUUUGCCGUUCAAAACUAGUUAUCAAUUGGGGAAAAUGGGGACCAAUCUGCAAGUCUUUAAAAUAGAAAGAAACUUUAAUUGGGCACUAUGUUCACGGUGGCAGACCCAGCAGCAGCUAUUUGUGCUUUAAAAAUAAUUUUACACAUUCUAAUUUUAAUAAAAAUAUAUAUUACAAAAUUACUUAUCAUAUAAGUUACUGGACAAUAUAUUAUAAGUCAACAUUAUAUAAUUACUUUGAACACUUAUAUAGCCCAAUCCUAAUUCAAUUUAUUAUUCUCAUAACUUAAAUAUAAGUCAACAAUAUAAGGGGGUUGUGACAUGGGUUUAAACAUGAUUUAACAAGUGCCACCUGUGAAUUGUCAGAGAUUGUAUUUUCAUACACAUGUCAAAUUUUCAAGUCCAACCAAAUAAAGUUAAAUAACUUAAAAAAUUUAAGUAAGGAUAUUUUUAAAUUUUUAAACAGUAUACAAAGUAAAGUUUAUUUUCUUGUCAGUGGCAAAUGAUCACGACAAGAAAUCUAAAGUAGAAACAGCAGAGCUCAACAAAUCACUAAGAGAAAAUAAGACCAAUAACCAAGCAGAUAAAAGAAAAGCAAAAUAACCCAUCUCAAAAUCACCACAUGCACAAUUUAAGGGGUUUGUGACAUGGGUUUAAACAUGAUUUAACAAGUGCCACCUGUGAAUUGUCAGAGAUUGUAUUUUCAUACACAUGUCAAAGGGUGGGCAUAUUUUAACCGAACCGAUCCAAACCGAUCCAAACCGACCAUUUGGUCGGUUUGGAUCGGUUUCAUUAGUAAAAAAACUGGUUUCGGUUUAUUGGAUUGCAAACCGACAUCACUCGGUUUGGAUUUCGGUUUGGAAUGAUUCCAAACCGAUUCAAACCGAUCCAAUCCAAAAAUAUUAUAUAAUUACAUUAUAUUUUAAGUUAAGCAAUCUAACUAAUUAUAUUUAUCAUUUUAUGCAGAUUUUGACAAAUCAAAACUAAUUAGGCCAUAAGUUUUGACGGACAAGAUGCACAAUAUUUUAAUUGUCAAAUGUUGUUCAAGUUUAUUUUAAUUUUGUGAGUUUGUUUUGAAUGAAUAUGUUAAGAACUUCUUUAUUAGGAUGUAUUAUACCGUAAACUUGUAUGGAUGUAUCUUUAAAUUGUUAUGUAGAUGUCAAAGUAGAUAUGAAUAAUAUAAAAGAGGUAUCAAUUUGGAUUACGGACACAAAAAAAUAACAAAUAAUUUAGGUAAAAUAAUAAAAAAAGUGGGCUUUUAGCUAAUAAACUCAAACUGAGAAUCCAAACCGAUCCAAACCGAUCCAGUCGGUUUGGAUCGGUUCGGUUUGAAAAAUUUUUAAGUUGAUAUCGGUUUGAAAAUAUUUCAAACCGAUAAGUUUGGAUCGGUUUGAGAAUAUGUCUCAAACCGAUCCAAACCGACUUUGCCCACCCCUACACAUGUCAAAUUUUCAAGUCCAACAAAUUGUUAUCUUUCUAAAGAGGCUAAUAUUAUUAUUAUCUAUGCAUAGCAUGCUAUAAACAAUUCAUAUUACUGGGCCUUUGUUUUGUGUACACAACAUAUGGACAGAGGAACAAAUGCCUGAGCUAAAAUCAUCAUAUUCCAAAAUAUUCUAUUAAAUCAGCACCACAAAACGCGAACGCUAAACAGAAUUGGAGCAAUUUACCAAAGCUAUUUGUCACGCAAAGCACUAGUACCUCAGAACCCAAUUUGCAAAAAAGCACCAAAAAUGAAAAAUAACAAAUGCCCAGAUGAAAAAUCAGGAAAAAAAAAAUGCUCAAAUCCAAAUUACAACCCCAUAAGUUGAGUCGUUCUCUUCGAACUGAAUUAAAAAUAAAUAAAAAAAUUAAAAUGGGGAGAUUGACCUCAAACUUUGGAAACAGAAGCGACAGCGAUCUGUUUCUUGUCUGGAGUGUCCAUUUCUAUAAUCUACUUUGUCCGUUUUCAGUUGCUCUGCCACAGAGCUUCUUCCCUCUGAAGCUGAAGCUCACACACACUCGCAAAACGAAAGCAUUUUUUAUUGAUUGAGAGGCGGGAAGGCGGGAAAAUGAGAGAAAUUUGCAUUUGUUUUCUCUUGGUUUGGUCAUACUUGUGCGGGCCCCAGCUUGACAAGCGGUAUUAUUACUAUUUGUAUAAUUUACAUGACGCGUGUCACGCAAUGACGAUAAAAAAUAUAUAUAUAUUGUUAAUUUUUCACUUAACAUUGAAAUAUCAUAUAAUUUUUCCAAUUUUUUGGUUAUUUUCUCGCCCUUAUGCCACAUUCUUUUGAUCAAAUAAUACAGUAAAACUUUUCUAUAAUCAUAAUAUUAGAGCCAAAUUAACUUUAUUUCUGUAAAGAGGCUAUAGCUUAAUAAAGGUAAAAUUAUAAAAAAAAUAUUAUUUUGACUCAGUUAUCUUUAGUGCAAGUGAUAUAAAGUACAAAUAUAUGAUAAUUAAUUAAUGAACUAUGUCAAAUACAAUAUGCUAACAAUGAUAAAAAAAGAUAGACAUAAUUUCAAGAAACUAUGUAUUUAUGUAGUGCUGGGAUUAUACAAAAUUAUCUUAAAAGUGUAAAGAGUAAAGUAUUAUUCUGAUUAAUUUAUAAAAAAAUUAUUUUAUCUUAAUCUUUAAUGCAACAUAGCUUUUUCUUUUCUUAACAACAAAGCAUUGUUUCAAAUAAUAAUUAUUGGAUUCAAAUCAUGUCCUAGGCAUUUUUUCUUCUAGUCGUCUUAAACUUUUAAUGAUUUAUUGGGAUGUGUCAAUCAUUAAUGAAAUUAAAUAACUAAGACUUUGUUUUAAUUAACGUUUACAUAAAUAGACAUCAAAACUCAAGUGUGAUUCUUAUCAAUUUUUUCCUGCAAAUUCUUUUCCUCUCAACUAUUCAUAUUUUGACAUUAAUUUCCAGCAAAUUAUUAAAAAAAAAAAGAAGCGUAAAAUGGAGAAAAGUGAUUGACAACAAGGUUUGCAUCUUAAUUUCAAAAUUUUCCUUUCUUUGCUAUUUUUGUGAGUUCUACAAUUGUUGUUUUCACUCUCAGCUGCAGUUCAAUGAACUCUAUUAAUAACCAUGAAGCUUAAUGUAUCAAUUCCAGUACGAGAAGUCCUUCUACGCAUGUUACAACACUUUUUGGUCAUUAUAGGUUGCAAAUGUUCCGUAAUGUACUCAUUCAUAUAACGGAAACGCUAUUAUCAAUAAUGAAAGUUGACUAAGUUUGUAAAUUCUAUUUAACGAAAAAGUAACAUAAAUUUAGUUGAACAAGAGGUAAUCAAUAUGUAAUCUAUGAAACUAGGGUGUGACUAAGUUACAUAGUAAUGUAACUUACAUGAACACAAAAAUAAUUAGUUUUUAAACUACAAGUAAUUUUGGAACUGCUCUUAAAUUGAUAUAAGUUUUAUUAUUAUGUAACUUAGCAAGGUCAGGUAUUUUAAUAAUAGCACAUCACUAUUGUUUCAUGUGAAUGAUGCAAUUGGAUUAGCCAAUACAUACUGUCAUCCCCGGGAGAUGCUAUGGCAAUAGCUUACUCUACCGUGCCAAUGUCAUUAGUAUUAAUCUGUUGAGCCUAAGACCAGAUCUAAGCUGAUCUAGAUUCCCCAAGAUCGCACACCACACAGUGAUUAAUGAAUCAAGAACAAUAAACCAUCAAAGAAUCGCAAACUUACAUGUCGGGUUACAUGUAAUAAAUGUUUUAAUUAUUAGAUGAUUCAUAAUGUUAGACCAUUUUUUGUAUGUUUUGUAAUCUACGUUUGAUAAUUUAAUUAGCUGAUAAACAUUUGAAUAAUAUUAUUUCAUUAGCUAUGUCAUUGAUCCCCAGGAAAAAAAAAAAAAAAACCAAUUUGGGAUGUUAUACAUUACUUCCCAUUUUAGAUUAAUAUUUAUCACAUAUAUUCUUAGUAACUUGUAACCCUUUUUGCUAAGGGUGAAAUGUGUUUGUUACCCCUUCUAUUUCUGAGAUUGUCCUUACAAUAAGGAUGCCGGCCCCAAUGUCAAAAACUGCUAUCUCUAGGUGUAAAUUCCUUAUAAAAUUCUUUUUUAAUUGAAAUUACUUAAAUAAUUGAAGAUAAAUUAAUUUUUUAUUUCAUUCAAAUAAAAAAAAAUAAUUAAACACUUAAAUAAGCUAUCCUUUUAAUUUUUUUUUUUACACCCAUCCAGUUUCAUAAUUUAUAUUUAUAAUUUAAAUUUUAAUGGAAAAUAUUUUUUUGAAAAAUUUUAAGAAUUAAGAAUUAUGGGGAUAAAAAUUAUGUAAUAAGAACAAAAUAAUUUAAAAUUUUAAAAUUUGCAUGUAUUAUAAACAAAAACUUGAAAGAAAUACUCUUUUCAGGGUGAGAUUUAAUCAGAAAAAGAUUAAUUUUCAUUUAUGGAUCAGUAUUUUAUAAAUUAAACAGAGGUAUUUUAAGAAAUAGAAUUCAAAAGGCAUGGGAAAGAAAUACUCUUUUCAGUAAUUAUAAUGCUGUGGAGCUUGUCGGAGAUUCCCUGCCCAUUUGUAGCUUAGACUCCUGGGGUUUUGUUCAUGUCUUGUCUGUAUCCCAAUUUCUCAUGCAGCAGAUGUACAUAUGAUGAGAUGAAAACAACAGCAAAAAUUGCUGUCUCAUAAGAGAAAUAGUCAUACAUAGUUGGUUAGGCCUCCUGUCCAUUAACUUAAUAAUGAAUUUUAUGAAAAUUGAUUAUCUCAUUGGAAUUACAUAGAUAUUGGAAAACAUUACUCCAGCCCCACCAUCCCAACCAUUUACUUAGUUCAUCAGUAAAAGCUGGAUUUUCCAUUUGUUCUUGAGAUUCAAAUUAAGGCAACAAGUUGCUCAUUCUAUAUUAUCUAUGUAAUCCUGUAAAAGUGAAGGGCGUUUAGAUGUGGAAAAACCUUACUCCUGCCGCAACACCUCAAACAGAUUGUGAUCAGACAAGACUUAGUUCAUCAUUAGUAGUAGUUGGAGCUUCCAUUUGUUCUAGAGAUUUAAAGGCAGCAAGCUGCUUCCUCAGUGCUACUAAUUCUUCCCCGGCAUUGCAUAUGUAGCCUGAGGCUUGUCUACCAGACAAAGUUGCUCCUUCCCUGCUGUACCGUACAUCCGCCUUGGCCGUACAGCAGGUAAAGAGUAAAGUAUUAUUCUGAUUAAUUUUAAAAAAUUAUUUUAUCUUAAUCUUUAAUGCAACAUAGCUUUUUUUUUUUCUUAGCAACAAAUCAUUGUUCCAAAUAAUUAUUAUUGGAUUCAAAUCAUGUCCUAGGCACUUCCCCGGCAUUGCAUAUGUAGCCUGAGGCUUGUCUACCAGACAAAGUUGCUCCUUCCAUACUAUCUAUGUAAUCCAGUGAGAGUGAAACCAUUUAGAAGACGUAUCUCUUUCUUUCCAAUAUUUAGAAUGAAACAAUUAUAUACAGUUACCUGUUUUGCAUAUGAGCCGGUGAGGAAGAAGUUCUUCACUGGUGUCUUUUGAUCACGUCUGAAGGGGUCUUUACCAGGUCCCUCACCGCACAUAGAUUGCCCGAUUUUGACGAAAGAUGACCAAAUAACUUCCAAACCUUGGGAUGAUGGAAAUGGAGCUAAAACCUAAUAAAAGGAACCGUGAAUGGAUAGUAUGGACUCAUGUAUAUUAUCCAGAAAGUUGCAUGACCUUUUGUGGUACUCAGGUCACUAAAAAACGUGAGAUAAACAUCUAGGAUAAGAAAAGCAAAAAAGCAUAACCUAAUACGUAUUAUAUGAAUUGAAGGUGUCACUGAACGCUACCAACCUGCUUUGCCACUCUCCUUAUGAUUUCAUCAUUUGGUAAGGGCAUAUAAGGAUCUCCAGGCGUCAAAACGCGUCUGAAAGAUAAUAUGGUUAUAGUAAACAACAUGGAAUACAAAGACACUUGGCAAAAGGAAGUCAAUCAGAUUCCAUGCACAAAAAAUAACUAAUAAUGACGACGAUAAGAAAUUUUUCACACCGGAGCCUUCUCUAUAGUAGUCUUCUGGUGAAGUAAGUGCUAGAUCUGCAAAGCAAGAGAAAUCUGCAUCUGGAGUAUAUAAAAGGUUAUCUAACCCCACAGCUUGCCUCAAUUGCCUACAUGUUCAAAACAAGGAUCUAUUAAAAAAUGGAAAUUUCUUCAAUGCAUUAGUGAAGGGAAGUGAAGUGAAAGCGGAUUUCUUAAGCCUUCACAGAGCAUCUUGUGUUUGAAUUCCGGUAACCUCACAAAAGAUUAGAGCAUCACCUUGACCGUUCUAGGUCUUGCAACUCAGUAACCCAACCAUUGUAUCUAAGCUGCACUGUGACAACAUGAACUCCAACGAGCUCAUAAAUAUUGUUGAAAAAUUUCAUUUCCCUCCAGCCUCCACAAUGAUGAAAGCAAUCUUUUAAUUCCAGGGACAUCACAUGCUGCCAUUAAAUAAGAAGUUGAAUAAAGAAAAAUCGUUCAACUAAAUGAUUCAGGAGUUAAAAAAAAAUGUAGAAGUAGAAAUAAAUAACAAAGAUUUAACCAUAAACCUGCAACAUUUGCAUCAGCUUGCACAACCUUCUUGUCAGUGGCCUGAAAUAGAAUGAGAAAUUGAAAGACAGUAAGCAUUAAAGAAUAAACUCAAAGAAGCUGCUUCUAACAGAUGAUAUAAACAAUAAAUUUACAAAUGUCAGUGUUAAGCAAAUAAAAGCACCAGGUCGGCCAUGAUACUAUUUCCACCCCGGCAUGAAUCACCUCAGCCAAAUGGUACGAGCAGAACAGGGGGUAACAUGAGCCGAUCCGAGACGAAUACUGACCAGAGCCAUAUACCGAGCCGGUACCCGUCCCCCAAAAAGUGGAAACACGAUCUCACAGAAUCACGGUAGUUGCGUUUUCCCAGAACCGUUGCGGGAGACGCGAGAUCCCAUGUUUGCCCAUAAUGCAGCAGUUAGAGUCCCAUGAGAGGCUACCACUACCCGAAAAAGGUGGGAUGAAGGGCAAACGGGAACGUGGGGACAGCGGCUAUAAAAGAAGAAGAAAUCGAUGAAGAAGGGGACAGAAAAAUGAAGAGAGGGAAAACGCUGCCAAAUUGCAAUUAGGCAUUUUUUACAAACUUCGAAACAAGUUAGAAACCAUUCUUGAAUCCAAAUUACAUUGUUUUCCCGUAAACACCUUGUGCUAACUUAGGCAUCGGAGGGUUUACGCCGGCAAAACCACCGGCGUCUCUGAUCCGUUUUUGGUGAACGCAGGUCUAGUAGGAGACCCACCAAGCAAAACUAUUAGUAGUUUUAAGUGAUCAAGAAAUAACCAUACCACCAAUUUCACCACCCUUAUUUACAAAUGUAUGAGUAUGAUCCUUCAUGAGUAAAUUUUUGUCCACACCUACCUGUCGAAAUGCUUGAAAAACUAUCAGAUCAUAAACACAGGCUCCAGUUAAAGAGGAUCUAUGAUUCUGAUCCAUCAUGUUAUUUGAACAACAUUUUCGAAUUUUGGUACAACCCUAAGCUAUAAUCAGUUGUAGUGGUACAACCCUAAGCUAUAAUCAGUUAUCAUCACUACAAAUGAUAUGGUCAAGAGGAAUGAUAGUUCUUGUUUCAAGUAUCUCAAAUCAUAAUUCUUUUGCAUGGCUUGUGUGCUUUUAUAAUCAUUCAAAUACGCAUAUCCACAACUAAGCAAGCUUUACCAUUUUCAUCAAUCGGAAGAGAUUAUUGUAGCAUCCAAAGAAAACGUGCAGGCCCAUUUCAAUAUGGUUUUCACGUUUAUCGACAAAUGAACCCACUUUACCACCAAUAAAAGACCUCGACUCAUAUAUAUCCACCUGGAAGAAAGGAAAAGUUAAAAAAAAAAAGUGUUGAGAAUUAUGUUUGAUUAAACUUAAUUCUUUCCCCAAGAAAUCUCCACACACUGAUCUUAUUGAAACAAGAAUGAAUACCCAAGAUAGUAAUCAGAAAUAAAGCAAGAGUGUUUAGACAGAAAUAGAGAUUAAAAGCAUAGAAUAAACCGGACACAAGGAGAAUUAUAGAGGUUCGGCUGGGUAGCCUACAUCCUCUUGAGAAACAGAAGCCAUAGCUUUUCUUUGAUGCUUAACAGAUUACAAGACUUAGAGAGUUUGUUACAAAGAACGUUGGUUAUCUAAACUUGGCCUUGGAGACCUUAUAUACAGCUCUCGAAGGAUCCAGAUAAGUGUGCUGCUUGCCAGCUCUUGUUCUGGGUUUGUUGAAACAAACCCAGAAAGUUCCCGCCAAGGCUAACCGUUGAUAACAGCCUUUUAAUUAGAAACGACACUUGCUGCUGCCGUUUAACUAAAGCUUGAAUCCGUAGAUGCUCGUGCAAUUCACGUGCAUUACUUAAGCUAUUCGUGUGACAGGAUAUGGUUGUCAUAUGCACAGCAUUAUCUGUCUGAUUGCUUUGUCGUUACUUGAUUAAUCCUAGACACGACAAAGUCAUCUUCUCCGUAAGCUCUUAAUUCAGGUUCACAAUUAACAAAAAGGAAUAAAAAUUCUUCUAAUUUCUUACACCAUCAACAAAAUCAGAAUAACACAUACUAGUUCAAAAUGAAAUAAAGUUUGUGAAUUGAAAUAAUGCCAACUCCUAAGAAAAAUUAUGACUGCUGAUAUUUUUUCCGAAACGCUGAUAAAAGCCUCUGCUAUUUACUUUGAAAAAAUUGAGGUUAGAAGCCAAUUUACUUGAAAUUUUUGAGUUUAGGCAAGAGGAUGAAUGGUAAAACUGAAACAUAUUAGGGAAAAAUGUACUUCAGAGGCCAAUGAAAGCAUUCAGAAGAUUGAAAACUAAAUGAGCAAAACCUCGUGGCCAUGAUCCAACAAUUCCACUGCUGUUGACAUGCCUGCAAGCCCAGCUCCAAUAAUAGCCACUUUCAGCUUUGGUCCUCUAUAAUGUUCCGGUUCUGGUAGAAACAAACCCUUGGGAGCUGCCAAGUAUACCAUCCAAUUAUCCACAGACUCCAAUCCAUAAACAAUUCUGCCACAAAUUCAAUCCAAAAUUGUUCAACUGCACCGCCAAUUCUCCAUCAAUUCCCUCAAAAAUUCAUAAUUGCCAAACACUGCAAACCAAAAAGAGCUUCCAGCAAUAAACGCAUAAAAAUCCGCCAAACAACAUAAAACAAAAUACCUAGAAACCAGAAAAGCCAAAAGAUCAAUGCUUGGCAAACAAGCAAAUCAAAUAAAACAAAAAGAAGAGAAAUUUACCAUUAACGCUCAUAUCAGAAACAUUCGUGUCCAAAGAAGCCCGUACGUGGAAUCGUGGACCCUUCACUUGAACCCGAGACCAUUUAACGCCAGUAACUGAAGUUGCAGGAAGCAGAAGUGAAGAACCCAUAUUGCAAAUCCUGAGCUGAAAUCAAGAAAUUCAAUUGGAACUCAAUUCAACUCAACCCAGCUGAGCUCUCUUUUGCUUCAAUAACAAAGUGUUUUUCUUUUAUAUCAACAAAGAUUUGUCAACAUCAACAAAAUUUAACUAAGAAACUAAAAUAAUAAAAGAGGGCACCUUUGAGUUUAAGAAUCUAACAAGAUGCUAAGGAAGAGAGUUUUGUCAGGGAACUGUUUCGGAGAGGUUGGCCAAGUGCUUUUUUGUUUGUUUGUUUGUUUUUUUUUUUUUUUUUUUUUAUCAUUUUGGCCCUUUUCAUUAAUACACAACAUUAGUACUCGCGAAGAGCACAAAAUGUUGGUGACUUUGUCACUAACGAUAAUGGAUGGAGCGACCAAAGCAACCAACUAAAUUUUAAAGAGAGGGAAUGACAAGCAAUAUUUUAAUUGGGUGAUUAAUUAAUGUAUUAUCAAGCAAUUGCAUUUAUUUAUUUAAACGAGGGUUUGGCUACAAUGCCGUUGGCAUUGUAGCCGGCACCAUGCCGGGCUCUCAAAAAGAGAGCCCGGCUGUCUUUGGCUGCCAUCUGGCAGCCAAAGACUUGGUGCAGCCAGUUAACAAACCGGUUGCACCAUAUUUUUUUAAAAAAUAUAUUAAAAAUAUAAUAUAAAAAUAAAAAAAUUAAAUAAAAUGUCAAAAAUAAUUUUUUAUCUGCUGUACGGCCAAGGCGGAUGUACGGUACAGCAGAGUGUUUAGACAGAAAUAGAGUUAACGUCCGUUGUUGCAUGUCCGACGUUCGACUUGCAUGUUUGACGUUAGAUGUUGCAUGUUUUGGAUAAAUCCAAAAUAAAGAAUAUUCUCGAAUAUUCUCGCCCGUUUCAUGUUUGACGUCCAAGUUGCAAACUUUACGUGAUAAGUUGUAUAUUUCACGUGCAGUGUUGCAGGUUGCAUGUUUAACGUCCGUUAUUGCAUGUCGGACGUCCUGCUUGCAUGUUUGACGUUCGAUGUUGCAUGUUUUGGAUAAAGCCAAAAUAAAGAAUAUUCUCGAAUAUUCUCGUCCGUUUCAUGUUUGACGUCGAAGUUGCGAACUUUACGUGAUAAGUUGCAUAUUUCUCGUGAAGUGUUGCAAGUUUCAUAUUUAACGUUAGUUGUUGCAUGUUCGACGGUCGGAUUUCAUGUUUGAUGUAAGCUGUUGCAUGUCUUGAAUAAAGUCAAAAUAAAGAAUAUUCUCGAAUAUUCUCGUCUGUUUCAUGUUUGACGUCGAAGUUGCAAACUUUACGUGAUAAGUUGCAUAUUUCACGUGCAGUGUUACAGGUUGCAUGUUUAACGUCCGUUGUUGCAUGUCGAACGUCACGGUUGCAUGUUUGACGUAAGCUGUUGCAUGUCUUGAAUAAAGCCAAAAUAAAGAAUAUUCCCGAAUAUUCUCGUCUGUUUCAUGUUUGAUGUCGAAGUUGCGAACUUUACGUGAUAAGUUGCAUAUUUCUCGUGAAGUGUUGCAAGUUUCAUAUUUAACGUUAGUUGUUGCAUGUUCGACGGUCGGAUUUCAUGUUUGAUGUAAGCUGUUGCAUGUCUUGAAUAAAGUCAAAAUAAAGAAUAUUCUCGAAUAUUCUCGUCUGUUUCAUGUUUGACGUCGAAGUUGCGAACUUUACGUGAUAAGUUGCAUAUUUCUCGUGAAGUGUUGCAAGUUUCAUAUUUAACGUUAGUUGUUGCAUGUUCGACGGUCGGAUUUCAUGUUUGAUGUAAGCUGUUGCAUGUCUUGAAUAAAGUCAAAAUAAAGAAUAUUCCCGAAUAUUCUCGUCCGUUUCAUGUUUGACGUCGAAGUUGCGAACUUUACGUGAUAAGUUGCAUAUUUCUCGUGAAGUGUUGCAAGUUUCAUAUUUAACGUCAGUUGUUGUAUGUUCGACGGUUGGAUUUCAUGUUUGACGUAAGCUGUUGCAUGUCUUGAAUAAAGCCAAAAUAAAGAAUAUUCUCGAAUAUUCUCAUCCGUUUCAUGUUUGACGUCGAAGUUGCAAACUUUACGUGAUAAGUUGCAUAUUUCACGUGCAGUGUUGCAGGUUGCAUGUUUAACGUCCGUUAUUGCAUGUCGGACGUCCUGCUUGCAUGAAGUUGUUGCAUGUUCGACGGUUGGAUUUCAUGUUUGACAUAUGAUGUUGCAUGUUUUGAAUAAAGCCAAAAUAAAGAAUAUUCCCGAAUAUUCUCGUCCGUUUCAUGUUUGACGUCAAAGUUGCAUAAUUUACGUGAUAAAUUGCAUAUUUAACGUGACUUGUUGCGGGUUUCAUGUUUUACGUCUAUUGUUGCAUGUUGGACGUCACGGUUGCAUGUUUGACAUUAGAUGUUGCAUGUCUUGAAUCAAGCCAAAAUAAAGAAUAUUUCCGAAUAUUCUCGCUUGUUUUAUAUUUGACAUCAAAGUUGCAUACUUUACGUGAUAGGUUGCAUGUUUGACGUAAAAUAUUGUAGGGUAGGUUUAUAUAAAAUAACUAAUUAUAAAAUGAGAGUGCAUUUCAAAAUUCCUUGACAAAUCAAGUGAUAAUUUAUAACUAAACUUAUUUUUUUCAAAUUUUUUAUUAUUAAUUAAGUUUAAUUAAGCCAAUCUAUAAAGAAACAAAUGAAAAUAUAUUAAAAUUAAAUUAAAUUCAACUUUUACCCAAUAAAUAUAUUUAGGAAUAUAUCUAAUUAAACUGGUACACAAAUUACAAAUGUUUUCAUGAAAUUACACACAUAAGUUUAAUAGUCUAACUAUUUUUUACAUGAUUGAUAAAAUGAUGGCUUUGGAAAGAACUUGUGAUUUGAAAAGAAAAAUCUAGUUAAUUAUAAUAAAAUUACAUAUCUAAUCCNNNNNNNNNNNNNNNNNNNNNNNNNNNNNNNNNNNNNNNNNNNNNNNNNNNNNNNNNNNNNNNNNNNNNNNNNNNNNNNNNNNNNNNNNNNNNNNNNNNNNNNNNNNNNNNNNNNNNNNNNNNNNNNNNNNNNNNNNNNNNNNNNNNNNNNNNNNNNNNNNNNNNNNNNNNNNNNNNNNNNNNNNNNNNNNNNNNNNNNNNNNNNNNNNNNNNNNNNNNNNNNNNNNNNNNNNNNNNNNNNNNNNNNNNNNNNNNNNNNNNNNNNNNNNNNNNNNNNNNNNNNNNNNNNNNNNNNNNNNNNNNNNNNNNNNNNNNNNNNNNNNNNNNNNNNNNNNNNNNNNNNNNNNNNNNNNNNNNNNNNNNNNNNNNNNNNNNNNNNNNNNNNNNNNNNNNNNNNNNNNNNNNNNNNNNNNNNNNNNNNNNNNNNNNNNNNNNNNNNNNNNNNNNNNNNNNNNNNNNNNNNNNNNNNNNNNNNNNNNNNNNNNNNNNNNNNNNNNNNNNNNNNNNNNNNNNNNNNNNNNNNNNNNNNNNNNNNNNNNNNNNNNNNNNNNNNNNNNNNNNNNNNNNNNNNNNNNNNNNNNNNNNNNNNNNNNNNNNNNNNNNNNNNNNNNNNNNNNNNNNNNNNNNNNNNNNNNNNNNNNNNNNNNNNNNNNNNNNNNNNNNNNNNNNNNNNNNNNNNNNNNNNNNNNNNNNNNNNNNNNNNNNNNNNNNNNNNNNNNNNNNNNNNNNNNNNNNNNNNNNNNNNNNNNNNNNNNNNNNNNNNNNNNNNNNNNNNNNNNNNNNNNNNNNNNNNNNNNNNNNNNNNNNNNNNNNNNNNNNNNNNNNNNNNNNNNNNNNNNNNNNNNNNNNNNNNNNNNNNNNNNNNNNNNNNNNNNNNNNNNNNNNNNNNNNNNNNNNNNNNNNNNNNNNNNNNNNNNNNNNNNNNNNNNNNNNNNNNNNNNNNNNNNNNNNNNNNNNNNNNNNNNNNNNNNNNNNNNNNNNNNNNNNNNNNNNNNNNNNNNNNNNNNNNNNNNNNNNNNNNNNNNNNNNNNNNNNNNNNNNNNNNNNNNNNNNNNNNNNNNNNNNNNNNNNNNNNNNNNNNNNNNNNNNNNNNNNNNNNNNNNNNNNNNNNNNNNNNNNNNNNNNNNNNNNNNNNNNNNNNNNNNNNNNNNNNNNNNNNNNNNNNNNNNNNNNNNNNNNNNNNNNNNNNNNNNNNNNNNNNNNNNNNNNNNNNNNNNNNNNNNNNNNNNNNNNNNNNNNNNNNNNNNNNNNNNNNNNNNNNNNNNNNNNNNNNNNNNNNNNNNNNNNNNNNNNNNNNNNNNNNNNNNNNNNNNNNNNNNNNNNNNNNNNNNNNNNNNNNNNNNNNNNNNNNNNNNNNNNNNNNNNNNNNNNNNNNNNNNNNNNNNNNNNNNNNNNNNNNNNNNNNNNNNNNNNNNNNNNNNNNNNNNNNNNNNNNNNNNNNNNNNNNNNNNNNNNNNNNNNNNNNNNNNNNNNNNNNNNNNNNNNNNNNNNNNGGUCAAUUUCAAUAAAAUUACAACUUACUAGAGUAAAUCCAUCUACUAAACAUCCAAAGUUCACAACAUAAUAUUUGAAUAUCACCAAUAACAUCCCCAAUCCUAAAGAUUGCAACAAAUUCAUGUAACAUUUGAGGGUAUUGUUUGGGGGUAAAAAUAACGUGACCAAGUACACAUAAGUAGAACGUGCACCCCUCAGUCGGCCUAAGGCGACUCCUUGAGGAAAGUCUUCCCCGAUGAGUUGAGCAUUGGAGGGUUUAUGUUAGAAAAAUCUCCGACAUCCCCUAACUAGUUGUUAUGAACGCAAGCAUCCUUGGAGAAAGAGCUUGAGGUCCCAAGAGCCUAUUCGAUAAGAAAGAUAGAAGUACAAACCGACUCCCCAACAACUACUAAUUUAAGUGUUGGCGUGGUUGUCUGGUCGCUUCACAGCUCGACGAGAAUUCAACAUCAACAAAUAUUUUAGAACCUAGUGUAUCUUCAAUCAUUUUGGAUUAAAUUGUAUGACACUUUUUUCUUUUCUUCUCUUUUUUUGUGAAAACAAAUUUUAAUACACUUAUUUUAAAAGAAAUUUGUUAAUGAAAAACAAAAUAAUGACAAUGAAGAGCACUCAUUUAUAAAAAUAAGCUACAAAUAGAAAAACAAAAUUCAUAUAAGUAGAAUCUCCCAAAAAAUAAAAGCAUUGUCGAAUUGAGUUACAAACUAAUAAUAAUUUCAUCAAAGUUUGUAAACCAAAGAUUGUCCUAAUAUCAAAAAGUUUCCAAUAAAACACUUAUGCCAGAUAAUUUAUAGAACCUAGUAAUAUCCAACUGAAUUCUCCCCUGGAAAUAAUUAAAAUUUUCAAGUUAGUCAAUAAGAAAAAACAGCCAUCAAUCAUAAUAAGAAGCAACAGCAAAUUACACUAAAAAAAGCCGUACAGCAGAACAACAAAUAUAAACAAGAAACAACAAUUAAAAAAAACCCAAAAAUGGCAUAAAAAGAUGCUCAAAGCAGCAAUAAAUUUAUAAAAAAUACCCUAAAAUAGCAGUGAAAAGUGCUUUAAAAAGCAUUAAAAAAAUCCAAAAACAAUAGUAAACAUGCCUAGAAAUAGUAGAAAAAAACCCCCUAAAAUAGCAAGAAAACUGCCUAAAACUAGAAAAAAAUCUAGCAGCAAAAUCUUCCAUUGCUAGAUAAAGCUAUGAAAGAAAAGAAAUAAAAUUCAUAAAGAGUCAAAGCUAACAUACUGACCACUUGCUAGAAAUUAAGCUAUAAAUCCCAAAUUUUUACAACAAAUUAGUAUCUGAAACAAGAUUGGUUUGAUAUAUGAUAGUCAAGUAAAAUACCUAUAAAGUAGUACAAAUUCAGCAAACCUAAUGGCUUCACUCCACUCAUUUUCUUAAGACUCCAGUGAUGAGAAGCUGCCAACAGAAUGAUAAAUUGAGGUUUGACAGGAAGCACACAAACUAAACAAGAUACAUAACAACUUUGUUAUCCAUGUUACACCCUAGAACCAUUUCUAGGAAUAUUUGUUAGAAUAGCCACCAUAACAGUUGAUGAGCAACAUAAAACAGAGACAACAACAAAACCAGCAACCUGCAAAGUGCCAAUUCUUCCAUAAUUAAAUCAGAUACACAAUAGAAAUAAUUUACUAUUAAAAUCCCAAAUUCAUUUUAUCUUCUUCCUGCAUUUUCUCAUCAAUCAAACAUAAAAGAGAGCUCCUAUCGACACAUGCAAACAGCACCCACCAUCUUGUCGCAUUCAAACACAACCCAAGAUCACAAAAGUUAAUUUUCUAGAUUUAGUUAACCAAAGAAAAUAUACCAUCAACUGGAUCACCUUAUAAAUCAAAUACAAUUCCACAAUAUUACCAACCUCCCAAAAAAAAAAGGCACAAACUUUAAAAUGAAAACAACAACACCAUGAAAAAUAAGCAAAAGUGGGUAUUUAAAUCAAACAUGAUAGAAUGCAACAAAAGCAAAAAAGCUUUCGAUAGAAGCCAAAGCUAGAUGGGGUACAAGCAAGCUAGGAGGUACCAAUUAAAGAUGCUUCAUUCAAGAACAGAAAAGCUACCAGAAUGAUAAAAGUAGAAAAAAUGAAACAAUAAACAGAAAAUUGGGUGAAAGCUGCAACAAUAGUUUCAAUCACUUAACAGUACCAGCAAACUUAUAGUAAACUUUAAGAACCAGAUGUUUAAGCCACAGAUAACGGGGACGUACCCAUGAGGAUAAAGACACAAGCGUGAGACCAGCAAAGCCGCCCAUCCUCAACUUGUGCUAAAGCCGCCCAUCCUUAACUUGUGCAGGAAACAAAGUCGAAUGAAAAAGGAGGCAACGACGGUAGCGACGAAAACAGCUGGAUCGGAAGCGAACAGCUCAAGAUGAAAGCAACAAGUUAAUGGAUUGGAUUGUGUGCGUGAGAUGUGGCUUCGAUUUUAUUUGAUUAGUCAAGAAAUCGAAGAGAGAAAUUAGAGAGAAAUUUGUGAUUUCUGAGAGAGAGGCAAGAAAUUGAGAGAGAUUGGGCACGGUUGAAACACCUAAAUUAUAAAAAUAUAAAUUUUGCAGCCUUUGGGAACUGGUUGCUUCGGUUGCCCUUUUUUUGUUUUUUUUUUUAUUUCUUUUCAAUGUCAGCCGUUGGAUUCAUUUUACUUGAAUCCAACGACUGCAUUUACAAGCCAGCACAAUGCCGGGCCUCAAUGCCCGGCAUUGUAGCUUUAGCCUUUAAACGAUGUCCUUAUCGUUGGACAAGGUUGAGGAAAGACAGCGAUGUUGUGUUGUCACGUAUUUUUGGGCCGACCGUUUCCAGUUCCGGCUUAAAUGAGGCUUUUGUAUUUUUGUGCCCUUUUUUUUACUGAGUAUUUUGUCCUAAAUUACACCAAAGAAAAUGUGGACUUUAGAAUGUGACAGUAUUGAUAUCUAAGUUCAUAAUAUCAUGAUAAAACAAAUAAAUGAAUAGAAAUGUAAAUAAAUUUGGUUAAAAUUUAAUGGCUUCGAAUUCGGUAUGUUAUCAAACAAAUCAUACUCUUAGGAUUUGGAUUCAAUUCAUUUAUUAAUUGGAUGUCUAUUUAAUUCGUUUAUUAUACAAAAUUAAAUGAAUUGAAUUGAAUUUAGAUUCAUUUACAAUUUGUUUAAUUUAUUUAUGUAAAAUUAAUAAUAAAUCAAUCAAAUGUGGAUUUGUUUAAAAAAUAAUAAUAAUUAAUAACAAAAAUCAAGCAAAGUAAAAUAGAAAAAAAAUCAUAAAAUUAACAACCUACAAAAUAAAAACGAAUUAGUGACCGCAAACUUGAAUUCAAUUCAUUUAUUUAACGAAUUGAAUUGAAUUCACUUAUUUGUUAAUGAAUCAAUUUUUUUUUUAAAAUUCAAACCUAUUUAACUUGAAUCAAAUAAACACAUCCUAAUCUAAAUUGUCACCUCUAAAUAUGAUGGACCUAUUUAAAAUAUAUGAAUACCAAAAUGUGUGGGCUAAAAAGUGGUUUACCAUGCAACAAUACAAAGUUUAAGCUCUCUUUUCUUAUGUCAUCCAAGGCAUUGCCUAGAUCGCCAAACACUAGAGUUCAAGUCUACAAUAAAGAAUCGAAAUUUUCCUUUGUAUAUGUUCGUAAGUAUUUAGCAUAGAUUUUUUAGUUAUACUUGAUAGAUCCCCUACCAUAUUUGCUAUAAUAUUUCUCUUCUAUUUAAAAGUAAAUAAUGCAUAAUAACGGAUUUGUAAAGAAAUGAAAUUUCCAGUAAUUAUCUGAAAAAAAAAAGAUGGAUUAAGCGAAAGAAGUUAAUAUAGAGUAAGUCGAGUACUUGACAAUUAAAGUAAUUUUACUCGAGGUUGAGUAAGGAUAGUAGGAUACUUUCCCAAGUUUUCCGAGGACAUUCAUGUAACAUUGGACUAUUGACUAUAGUUAGAGAGAAGUCCUAGGAUGUAAGUGAUGAUGAUAGAUUCACAAUUCUUUUGAAGAAAAUAUUUUAUAUAAACUUAAUUAUAUGGUAUAAAAUGAUUGGCCUUAAUAAAAUUAAAAAAUAAUAAAAAUAAUACACGCCUGGGUCAUGCAAUAUUUUCAACCAACUAAUUUACACGCAAAAUUAAACCUUAUGAGUGAGAACAUUAUGGUACAUUUAUUUGCUAGCAAAAACUCCGCAAAAAUUUUCCGAAGUGUGAAAAUGAACACUUUUAACAAUGGCACAAAAUUCCCACCCCCCAUGAUUAAUUCUCUUAUCUGGAAUAUUAGGGGGCUUCCCCUGCGGAAAUUAGUUCGAUUACAUCGAUUGUCUUUGAUUUGUGUGUUGGAGCCAUUUAUUUCCGUUGAUCGUUUAGAGGCUCUUCGGGUGCGACUUGGGAUGGAUCAUGCUUUAUCUUCCCAAUCUGGGAAGAUUUGGGUUUUCUGGUCCGCACCUUUCUCGGUGGAGCUUUUGCAUGACAUGGGCAAGGUGAUUUAUUAUCGGGUUAGUCACUCUUUUUUUCCUGAUCCUGUGUAAGUUUCAUAUGUGUACUCUAGUUGUUAUAUGGAUGUGCGAGAGAAUUUAUGGGAUGCUCUUAAGACCUUUGUGGAUAGUCAUGACCUACCUUGAAUCGUGGGGGGAGAUUUUAAUAUGAUUCAGGCGGUCUCGGAGAUUUCUGGCUGGCAUCUACAGACUCGGGGAGCUAUUGAUGCCUUUAAUUUAGCGUUGCUUGAUUGUGGGUAGGAGGAUGCUAGCUUUGUUGGCAGUCCUUUUACUUGGACUAAUGGGCGCCCAUGGAGGCAGCUUGAUAGGGUGGUCUGCAACACUCACUAGUAUGCUUUCUUCUCAGUAUUUCGGGUCUCUCAUCUGAAUCGUACUGCCUCAUAUCAUUCUCCUUUGCUUUUUUUUUGGUGAUCGGGACGCUGUUAAAGGACCUUUACGGUUUAAAUUUCUUCAUGUGUGGCUCAUGCAUCCAGGUUUUCUUGAUACUGUGCGGCAGUCUUGGGGUGCUCCGGUGGUUGGUUUUGGAAUGAGAGCCUUUCAACAAAAACUCACUCGGUUAAAGUUCUGCCCAAAAGCUUGGAACAAAAAUGUCUUUGGUAACGUUUUUUAUCGGGUCCAACAAGCAGAGGAGGACGUGGCUCAGAAGGAGAGAUUGUAUGAUAUUUCUGGCUCCGCCGAUUACAGAGCUAAUUUUUCUGAGGCCAGGGCCUGGUUGCAGCAUGCUUUGCUUCGUGAGGAGAUUUUUUUUUGCGUCAGCAGUCCUGUGUUCGAUGGGUUCGAGAGGGCAAUACUAAUACCUAUUUUUUCCAUGCGAUGAUCCGGAAAAAGCGCCAGUUGUUUUAUAUUCACAGGAUUCGAGUUGAUUGUUUCUCAGAGUGGAUUUCUGAGCCCUCCGCCAUUGUAGAUUAUGAUGUCGAUUAUUUUCAAGAUUUAUUAACGGGAGAUGCCAGUCAAUUUCAGCAGACGGACUUCGAAGUUAUUCCAUCUCUUGUGUCUGUAGAGGAUGAUGUAGAGUUAUGUAGAGAGCCGUAUAUGGAUGAGAUUAGACAUGCGGUAUUUUUUAUUGAUCCAGAUAGUGCUCCUGGACCGGAUGGUUUUUGUAGCAGAUUCUAUCAGUCGUGUUGGGACAUCAUUUGCCAUGACUUGUUAAAUGUUGUCCUCGAUUAUUUUAGAGGUUCGGCAUGCCCAGAGGUUUCCAAAGUACUUUAUUGGUCUUUCUGCCUAAGAAGGCUUCUCCGGCUUCUUGGGCUGAUUUCCGUCCAAUUAGUCUUUGUAAUGUGAGCAACAAGGUCCUUACUAAGUUGCUUGUCCCAUCUCCUGCCUCACAUUAUUUCUCCUACUUAGAGUGGUUUUAUUCCUGGUCGAGUGAUUCAUGAUAACAUGCUCCUGGCUCAGGAGUUCGUUCACGAUCUCAAUCGCCAUACUCGAGGGAACAAUGUGGUUCUGAAAUUAGAUAUGGCGCAGGCAUACGACGUAUGUCAUGGCCUUUUAUUAUUAAGAUGAUUCACUGUUUUAAGUUCUCGAAGCGUUGGAUUGCUUUGAUUUGGCGAGCGAUUUACGGUCCUUAGUUUUCAGUGCUUAUGAACGGGGUCAGUAACAUAUAUUUCCAGUCCCAGAGUGGUCUUUAGCAGGGUGAUCCCCUUUCCCUUUGCUUAUUUAUUAUUGCUGCAGAAUUUUUAUCUCCAGGCUUAGAUCAUUUGUAUUCUCAAUAUCCCUCUGUUCGGUAUUGUUAUACUGCACCUACUUCUAUCUCCCACUUGAGUUUUGCGGAUGGUAUUGUUAUUUUUGCAAAUGAGAGCCGAUCUAACUUACAGUGGCUUGUGGAUUUCUUACACCAUUAUAAGGCGAUCUCAGGGCAGUUGAUUAGCGAGGACAAGAGUAACUUCUACAUUGGGAAGCCAGCUUCGACCUCCCGCCAGGCCAUUGUUCACUCUGUGCUUUCAGUGACGUCAGCUUCCGUUUACUUAUCUUGGGUGCCUGAUCUUUACAGGGCACCUCAAGAUCUCCUAUUUUGAUGACAUGGUCCGGAAGGUCAAGGAUAAGAUUUCUGGCUGGGCUAACCGUCUGCUUUCCUUUGGUGGGAAUCUCGUCCUCAUUCGCCAUGUGUUAUCCUCUAUGGCCCUGCACUUAUUUCACGUCCUCCGUCCUUUUAUAACGGUAGUUUAACGCCUAGAGCGAUUAUUCACCCGAUUCCUAUGCGGUGAUUUUGAGGGAAGACACCGGAUCCACUAGUGUAGAUGGCCAAAGGUUUAUUAUCCAGUUGACGAGGGUGGCCUCGAUAUACGAUCUUUUGAUGAUAUGGCGGAGGCUUUUGAGAUUAAACUUUGGUGGCGGUUUUGUUAGCAGAGUUCCUAUAUGAAGUCUAAGUAUUGCAGAUCUACGCAACCAAGCCUUAUCCAGUUUCGCUAUCUUGCCUCUCCUUUAUGGAGACACCUUUAUAAGAUUCGUUGCACGACUAAACCUCAUGUGCGUUGGCUCGUUAGGAGUGGAGAUUGUAGCUUCUGAUAUGAUUGUUGGCUGAGUUCUUGCCCUUUAUUUUUUUAUAACCCUACAACGGCUUUGUCGGUGUCGGUCUAGUUCUUUUGGCAGGGUACAAUCUGGGACAAAGGCAAACUAAAGGAUGUCUUGCCUUCAUCUAUUGUUGAGCAGAUCCUAUUAGUGCCUAUUUCUAGUGGGAAUCCAGACCUGAUUCGUUGGGACCUUGCCCCCGAUGGCACGUUUAACUUGCGGACUGCUUGGGAGCUUGUACGGUGCUCGAGGCCGAGGGAUGAGCUUUUCUCGAUGAUUUGGUAGAGGCAUAUCCUGUCACGAGUUUCCUUUUUUCUCUGGCAGCUACUUCACGGAUUCCUAGCUACUGAUGAUGCCUUAUACUUGAGGGGUUUCUACAUGGUUUCUCGAUGUAUUUGUCAGCGGGUUGCUGAGACUUCUCGGCAACUUUUUAUGGAUUGCCCGCGGGCCCAUCAUAUUUGGGUUCAUUACUAGCGGAUCAUGGGGAUGCGUGAGCUUUAUUUUCUGUCUCCCCGUACUUUGCUUUUAUUUUGGAAACAUUGUGCCCCUUCUCAGAAUCAUCAUCGGGUCCUUCUGCCUUACUUCAUUUUGUGGCAAAUUUGGAAGGCCCUAAAUGCUUUCUGGUUUCAUUCACAAUCUUUCUCCACUGAUGCGGUUAUCUUUCAGGUCGACUCUGAUCUCAGGCUUGCUAGUUCUGCUUUUGGAUUCAAGCCUCCCCAACUGAGGGGAGUCUUGGGUUCUCGUAUUGCGGAGAGCUUGCGAGUGACGGCUCCCCGUAGGAGGUCGAUUCGUCUAGUUGCUUGGAUGAGGCCAACUUCAGGGGUGGCUAAGCUGACUGUGGAUGGUUGCUCUAGGGGCAACCUUGGGAUGGCUGCUUCCGGGGGUAUUCUUCGGGAUCACCGGGGCGUGGUUUUAACGGCUUUUGGAUCCUUUUUGGUUUACAAGCCGAUCUUAUAUGCUGAGCUCAUGGUGGUGUGCGAGGGUUUGGAGCUUGCCAUUCAGCUUGGGUACUCAGUGCUCGAGGUUGAGUCAGACUCGGCUAUAGUGAUGUCAUGGAUUCACACCUCAGGGUCCUGUUCGAUGGGAAUGUUUUUAUUCUCUGCGCUGGGUGUGCCGUCUGGUAACGUCAUUCCCCAUUCAGGUGAGACAUGUUCUUCGCGAGGCUACUUAUGCUGCUGAUGUUCUAGCCAACUGGGCACGCACUCAUCGGACUAGCUGAUGUUUCUUAUCUCCUCGAGAGCUUCCCAAAGGCUUAUCUGGUAUUCUUUACUUAGAUGCCCACGCAAUCCCCCAUGUCAAACGUUAGGAUUUUAUCUUUUUCUUAUAUCUCAUUUUCUCUAGGAGGUUUUGGCUUAUAUCCCCUCCUUUGUAUCUAAUUCAUUUUCAGAUUUAUAUUAUAGGUAAGGGUUCCGUCUAACCCCACCACUCUGGUGGUUUAAAAAAAAAAAAAAACAAUGGCACAAAAUGCCUGUGAUAAUGAAACAAUGUGCCAUCCUUAAACUAAUAUCAUUACAAACUACAAGUGAAAGUUUUUGGAAAACAUGUGAUAAGUUUUUCUCGGAAUUUGUUUUCUUCUUUGUUUUGAUUUAAGUGUAAAAUUUUAAAAUCCGUAACAAAACAAAAAUUUACAUGGGUUGGGUGCACCUUGUGGUUCGUGCAUGCUUUCGUCUAAUAGUAUUUGAUACAUACAUAUUCAUUUUAAAAUUGACGAAUCGUAAUAAAAAAAUUUAUAUAUAAUAAUUGAAUGAGAUCCAUGGUUCACAAUUGCAAAUUAACGGUUGGUUUUAUAAUAAAAAUCUUUAUGUACAUACCAAAUUAAAAAAAGUUAUAAGUGAAUUAAGAUUUUCAAAAUUUGACUCGUAUUAUAUUGUGUACGUCAAUAUAAUAUAAAUUUGUUAUAUAUAUAUAUAUAUAUAUAUAUAUAUAAUCCAGUGCUUUGAAAAACUUUAUACUUGUUUGAACAGUUUUUUUGCUUUCUAUUUAUAUACGGUAUCAUUUAUGUUUACAUAAAUUUUCAUAUGUACCCAAAUUAAGCAUUAAAUACACAAACACUUUGUUAGGGCACAUGUAUAAUUAAUCUUAAUAAUUCUUAUACAAUCCUCUAUUUAACACCAGCAACGUCACCCAUUAUAAUUUAUCACUAAAUAUUGUAAAACUAUUGGUUUUCACGAAUAACUAAUAAAAAUUAUUUUUUUUAAAAGAAAAAUACUGCGAUUCCUUUCACUGUUGUAGUAGUAUAGUUAUCGUGGACGAUGAAUUUCUAGUAUUGUACAAUGAUAUUUAUGUUGAAUAUAACGCUUCAAUGAAUUUUAUUACUAUAUACUACAAUACUCAACCAUCUUCAUUAAAAAAAAAAAAAUUGCAUGAUUAGAAUGAUUAAAGUUCAUCUAAUGACGAGUUUCAUCAUUGACUGUGUCCAAACACAGCAGCAAUCCAGAAUACAUUUAACACGAGAGGCGCACACAAACAUGCAUGAUGAAUCUUCCACCAUUAAACCUGAAAUCAUAAAAUGAAAGAAACAAGAUGAGUGUUGUUUGUCUGAAAGCCGAUUCGAGAAAAAAUAAUAAUAAUAAUAGACCUUUGUUAAUAAUUAAUACUAGUUGUCACUACCUUGUGCAUCUUCCUCCUCUGUAUCAUCGUCCUCUUCCAAUCACACCGCAAGACCAGUAUAUCUCGAGAAUCUUUACUGCCUUCUCACAGAUCCCAUUGCUGUCAUGUCUUUUGAGAUCUUCAAUCUUUUUGAAUCCCUCAGCCGCCUCCACCAACCGUGCAUAAUGAUUAAAAUAUCUAUUGGCGGUACCCGUAUUCAUUUCAGCUUCCCCGACCUUCAAAAUGUUCUCUAAUCCUUUUAAGCAAAUAGUGACGAUCUCUGGAUCAGCGUAUAGAAGGAGAUCACACAAUGGUUUUAUACACCCCUUUCUCACGAGGUACUUGAUUUGCUCAUGAGUACCACCUGAGAUGGCAUUUGAAAUUGCCCGAGCGGCCUCCUUCUUUGUAAAAAAUUCAGCAUUUUGAAGCAGAUCGACAAGGGGACCAAUUACGCCAGCAUCAAUUACCACCUGAAUCUGUUCCCUGUUACCAGCUGUAAUAUUUGAAAUAGUCCUGCAUGCCUCUUUCGCAAUGCCUGUACACUGAGUCAGGAAACCAUCUCCCUUCACAAUAUAUCUGACAGUCCACAGGGGAGGAGUGAGCCCGAAGGGGAAGGGUAAUGGAUGAAGAAGGAGCUUAACAAGUCGUGGACAGACAUCUGCCUCGAUCACAGCUUGAAUUUUGUCAUUCGUACCAUCAGAUAGACAGGAUAGUGCCUCGCAGGCAUAUCUCAAGACAUCGUUGUCAUUUGAAUGAACAAGUUGUGCAAGCGCAGGAAGAGCUGGCCUCACCUGAUCAAAUGGUGGCUCUGGCUUGCCCUGGCAAAAACGAGACAAUGUCUUUGUGGCAUUUCUUAGCAUUGAAGGCUUAGCAUGCUUAUUUAACUGUGCCAGCAACGGAAUCAAAGCUUUUUCACUGAGCACAAGAUCACGGUCUCUAGGUGAGCUACGAGCAAUAUUUCCCAGUGCCCAAACAGCCUUCUCUCGGACAUCAUCACUUGGAGAAGAAAGUAGCUUCACAAAUAUUGGAACAGCACCGCCGUCGAUCACCACAUUAGUAUUCUCAGAAGCAAUGUUUGUAAGAGCCCGAGCAGCUUCCAACUGAAGCUGCGGAUUGUCUUCCCUAGUAAGAAACUCAACAAAGCGCGCGACAACGCCAGAUUGUAUGACUUUCUCACUUGGUGGUAGGAGCAGUUUUCGGAACCAAGUAGUUGCUUCCAGCUGCAAGCCACUGUCAUCUGACCAAACCCCAGCAAGCAUCCCAGGUAAACUCACCAACUUAUUUUAGGAGCAGGAGCAGGAGGAGGAAAUUAAGUUAGGGAUUUAGAGUGAGAGUGAAGGUGGAGAAAAAGCAAGAGAGGGAAAAAGCUUAUUGUUGAGAAAUAUGUACCUUUUGUAUGGUUGUGUUAAGGUCGUCCUUCCAAGCCCAACAUGCUUCACCAUGCCGCUCCACUUUGUGUAAUUUGGGUGUACUUAAUUUUCCUUCAGAGAAAAUCUUCAUAUCGGGGCAAUCAUCCACCACUAAUCUUUCUAAAGAUGGGAACUUGAAAGCACAAUUGCCAGAGCAGAAGCUUGUCAGGCGUUCUAAGUCUACAAGCUUCAACUCCUUCAAUUCUCUGAAAGUAAUAACCUCAUCUUUUGCUACAACAUCAUCCCCCUGUACUAUUUCUGUUAUCCUAUCGCAUGAUUUUAUCUUCAUAUAUCUAAGUCGCACCAGAGUCUUUGCAAUUAAGGAUGUUAAUACGAUUUUCAAGUUGUUGCAACGCGAUACCACCAUAUUUGUAAGAUUCUGAAAGGAUGUCGACGGUGGCACUAGAUUGACUAAAUGGUCACACCCCUUUACACGUAGAAUAACCAAGUUGUUCGUAACAGAGGACUCCCUUAUCAAAAUGUGCUCCAGAUGAAAUGCUUCUCUUAUUUCUACCCACAUCCCAUUUUCAACCUUCUCAUACGGCAACGAGGCACUAUAUCCUCCUAUUUGGAGGACUUUCAUUGUGUGAAGUCUCUGGAGGAAGUCACCAAGUGAUAAAAUCGUCCGCUCAUCACCCAAGUGAUAUUUAUUUGUCACUACGUGCUUUGCAUCAACUUUCAACUUUUCCAAAUUAGGGAAUACCUGGGAGAUCGAUCACAACCCCAAAAAAAAGAAAAAAAAGAAAUACAAGAUGAAUCAAUUGAUAAGAAAUAUAAGUUACCACUAAUUUAUACAAUAUAUUUUAUUCAAUAAAUCUUAACCUUUAAAAAAAAUAGUAAUAAUAGUAUGCCUAACAUCUAGAAUAAUUAUGAAUGAAUACUAUACACUAAUCCGUAAGAGAGUUACGUUGCUGACAAUUUGAGUUUUAGUAAGAAACCAAGCGAUGAAGGCAAAGGCAAUAUAACUCUAAACUCUAUGAUAUAAACUCUCACAGUGCAUACAUAAGAAUUGAAAAAUUGAUUAUAAAAUUCUUGUACCUACCCUUUCCGUGAAGAUACUAGUAGUUCUCACCAUGAAUUCAGGACAUUUAGAUAUCCGUAAUUCUUUCAAGGAUGGAAAUUCAAGAAUAUCAAGAUCUCCAGUGCAGAAGCUUGUGAACUUUUCAAGAUCAGACAUCUUCAGAUAUUGCAACUGAGGAAACAUUACAAUAUUUUUCUUCCUUUCUUCUUGGUUGUCCAUAACUAUUAACUCUUCCAAGACAGGACAUCCGACUAUCUCAAUGCAUUGGAGUUGAACAAAGCUACUAACGGUAGAAGAUGAAAAUAGACAUCUUAAAUUCAUACAGCAGGACAGGGUCAAGCGCGUUAAAUUCUGAAUACCACAAGACAUGACUGCAACUUGGUUUUGCCAAAUCCUUUCAACAUUUAUUGAAAGCAAAUGCAACUUCUCUAACUCUGGUAACCGAACCUGCUCGAUCAAAAAAUUAACUCGUUAAUUACAAGCAACAAUGAUUUCUGUUGAUGGACAAAUCAAUAAAAUUCCCCUUGCAAAUAGUAAUUAUCAUUAAUUGCCACGGGUUGACAUAUAAUUCUAAGAAAUUAGGCGAGAAGAGUCUCAUCAACAAUCAAUCAGCAGAUAUCACGUUUGGCAGAUCAUCAUGAUUUCCUCAUAUGCUAGAGAAUCAACGUGAUUUCCGCUCAUGCAGGAGCAGGAGUGGACACAUUAUCUUAGAGCAUCCCUCACUGAGAUCUUUUAAAAAAUUUAUAUUAUAAAGUGAACAACAUAUUUAGUAUAGAUUUAGACGGCGGCUAAUAUAAUUUAUAUGUGUUCUAAUGAUGUAUAUUAAAGAAAAUGACUAACCAUAAUUUCAAUCAACUUAUUAGUCUAUAUAUAUAUAUAUAAUAUAUAAUAUAUUCAGUGAUUACAACAUAUUUAGUAUUCCAUAACAUGAAGUUUAUAAUAAUAAUUAUUAUUAAUUCACUUAUUGUGUCAAGAACAUUUUCUUUCUCUAAGAAUGAAUUUGUUACACCCUACUAUACUACGGAUGAAAAAUUUAGAAUCAUUGUGAAAUAUAAUUAUUAAUCACUCUUUGCCAUAUUUGCGACCAAAGAAGAAUAUAACAAAGAAAAGAAACAAAAAUUAUAGAGAAUUAAUGAGACCAUUGACGUAUUAAUAACUGACCUUCCCAGUGAAAAGCGUAUUAGAAAUUUGGAUAUUGUCCUCCAAAAUGAUUUCAUGUGACUGCAAAUCAUUAGCUGAUUCCUGUUGUCUCUGUUGACAUUGAGUGUAAACUUAAUUGUGAGCACAAUCUUAAUGCAUAGAUACAAGAUCUCUAAAAAUUAGUAUAAUAAACUUAGCACAAAAUCUAAAUUUGAUAUUUCGGAUUCCAUGAUUAAGAUUUUUUAAAUAAAAAUUUAAUAUAGUUAAUUUAAAAAUAAAAAUUAAAUAUGAAAAAUUAGAUUUGCAAUUAUGGAUUUAAUUUUGAUAAAUAAUGAAUGUUCUCUUUAUAUUUUUUUUUAAAGGUAAAACAGCGUACAAAGCCCAAAUUCAUUUUUUUAGUCCCUUACUCUCCCAUGAUUCAAACUUGGGUGGUUGUAGGGGGACUGAAAAUAUGUAAGACAGUUAACUUCACUUUUUUUUUUUUUUGAGAGAGAAAAGAGAAGAAGGAUAUUACAAAGCACGAAGCUCGUGCAAUAUAAGGGCAAUUAUGGUUUUUUCUUUAAAUUAAAAUGGUAAGAUUCUGAAGCUAAAAGAUUAAAAUAUUAAUUAAAUUGCAAACAUUAAAGAUUUUUUUUCCAAAAUUGGUUGCUUUGAAAAUGAGAAUAAUAUAAUGUUUGAAGACUUUUCAAAAUUAAUUACUGUGAUGCACUAGAAAUUUCUAGCUUUAGUCUAAUGUAUAAAUUGACAAAACGAUAUUAGAAUCCCAGGUGAAAAGAACCCUCUCAUACCAAUUAUUUAAAUUAGGAAUGAUCAUACCUCUGACUCUGCCGAACUGAGGGCGGGGUCUAAACCCCUCAUACGGAGACGCUUGAGAUGGGAAGAGCCCACUUUGACUAAUUCAUUACGAAUAUAAUCGACAUCUUGCUCUUGCAAUCCACGUAAUUCAAGGUCUUCAAUUCUCUGCAGUUGCACGAUCAGCGAAUCCUUCAAGCAAAUCUUGUUAUUUAGCUCGAGACUGAAUUCACGACACCCAAUGCCGGUGCUCUCCCAAUAGCCAUCAUCUCCAAUGCGUAUGCUGUACCUUUCCAGCUUCUCCAAGAGCAGGCCUCUGGGCAGAGUGCUGACGUCACGGGCGCGUAAUUCCAAAGAGGUCAAGUUGGGCAAAUGCUUCAACUCCUCAAGGCUUGCAUUCUUAACCCCUCCCACCUCCAUCUCCCAGUAACGAAAGCUUUGAUCUAUAUAUAGUUCUUCUAAAUGUGAUAAUUUUGACAGUAUAUUUGGUGGAAUAACUUCUAGAUAGCAACAAUCCCUCAAAUCAAGCAACUUUAGCCAAGUCAAUUCACCUACUUCUACCGGCAACUUCUUAAUAUAAGAACCUCUUAAGCAAAGGAUUUCUAGUUUCUUCAAGCCUCCUACAACACUUAUAUCGGGCAAGAUGAAGCCGCACAAACUCAGUGUUCGAAGGUUUGACAGGAGACCAAGUGAUGAAGGCAGUGACCGUAGAUCCAUGUCAGUCAAGUUUACAACUCUGACCUGUAUCAUGCUCUUGAAAAAGUUGUCUAAUUCCCAACGAUCAGCACGUAUAAAAAGAAGUUCGAGCUGAGGACAUUCCAGUACUUCAGGAAGCAAAUUAUUCUUGAUACCAUGUAAGACGAUUGAAGUGCAAUGCUUUAUUGCACUUCCAUCUGACCAUUCCCUGCAACCAUCAACCUGCUCAUUUGUAGCAGUAAACACAUUUCGUUCAGUAGAUGCAAUUGAUACGGCGACAUCGCGAACUACAUCAUGCAUAGAAAACAACUCUUUCUUCUGGCUUAUAUGGUCAAGCAACAUACAAGAAGCUUUGAGUGUGCGCACCAAUGUAUGUACUCGAUUUCGUGCUACUUCAAUCUUAUUCACACCUUGAAAUAAACCCAAUCCCAUACCACACAUUAACAAGUCAUGAAUAGAUGAUAUGGCUGUAUAUCCUAUUAGCAAAAAGAUGUUCUUCAGCUCCUCCCCUACCAAUUUGUCGUAACUCCACUUUAUGGCUUCAUAUGCAUCUGGCUGUACAUCCUUAAAAUUCGAUGAAGAAGGCCUUCUUAGCUGUUCCAAUGCAUCCUUCCAUUCACGUAUGCUCUUGUUCCUUAAUGCCCUUGCAACCGUCACAAUGGAAACUGGUAGACCUGCACAUUCCUUUGCCACAUCCCUUGCUACCUCUUUCAAUUCAUUACCUUCAACAUAAUCACCUGCCAUCUUCGUGAAUAGACUCCAAGCUUCAUCUUCUUUUAAAAAUCCAACUGGGAAAUUUUUUCGAGACUCCAUCUCUCCAGACAAUACUUCUUCACUCCUUGCCGUGAACAGCACUUUACAUCCCAUGUGAUCAUCUCCGUGAGGAAUUCCGACAUCCAACAAAUCAAGAUUUUCCCAAAUAUUAUCCAAGAUUACAAGGAUCCUCUUCUCUUUCUUCAGUCGAUCAUAGAGUCUUCUUGCCCUACCCGAUUCACUCUCCUCAUCAAAUUUUAGACCUAGUUUAUCCGCGAUUUCUCCUUGAAGCUUUCUUACGUCUCGACUCUCAGACACCUCAGAAAAAACCACCUGAUCGAAAAGCUUGUCACUCUCUGCUUUUCUAGCAACUUCUUUAGCUAGCGUCGUCUUUCCGAUUCCGCCCAUUCCAUAAAUCAAAAGCAUGUUGACAUUGGGAUUUUUUAAUGCAUCAAUUAUUUCAUUCAGAAUGGACGUUCUUGAUUCAAAGGCCUCGAAGUCUUUGUUAGGCAUAAGCAAGGUAUCCUCCGGAAUGAUCUGCUGUACCGUACAUCCGCCUUGGCCGGACAGCAGUAAUUAAAUUGCAAACAUUAAAGAUUUUUUUUGCAAAUGGUUGCUUUUAAAAUGAGAAUAAUAUAAUAUUUGAAGACUUUUCAAAAUUAAUUACUGUGAUGCACUAGAAAUUUCUAGCUUUAGUCUAAUGUAUAAAUUGACAAAACGAUAUUCGAAUCCCAGGUGAAAAGAACCCUCUCAUACCAAUUAUUUAAAUUAGGAAUGAUCAUACCUCUGACUCUGCCGGAUUGAGGGCGAGCCAGAGACGCUUGAGAUGGGAAGAGCCCACUUUGACUAAUUCAUUACGAAAAUAAUCAACAUCUUGCUCUUGCAAUCCCCAUAACUCAAGGUCUUCAAUUCUCUGCAGUUGCACGAUCAGCGAAUCCUUCAAGCAAAUCUUGUUAUUUAGCUCGAGACUGAAUUCACGACACCCAAUGCCGGUGCUCUCCCAAUAGCCAUCAUCUCCAAUGCGUAUGCUGUACCUUUCCAGCUUCUCCAAGAGCAGGCCUCUGGGCAGAGUGCUGACGUCACGGGCGCGUAAUUCCAAAGAGGUCAAGUUGGGCAAAUGCUUCAACUCCUCAAGGCUUGCAUUCUUAACCCCUUCCACCUCCACCUCCCAUUUAUCAAAGCUUUUAGGACCUAUAUAUAGUUCUUCUAAACGGGAUAAUUUUGACAGUAUAUUUGGUGGAAUAACUUCUAGGUCCUCACAAUCUCUCAAAUCAAGCAACUUUAGCCAAGUCAAUUCACCUACUUCUACCGGCAACUUCUUAAUAUCAGAAUCUCUUAAGCAAAGGAUUUCUAGUUUCUUCAAGCCUCCUACAACACUUAGAUCAGGCAGGUAGCACCAACACAAACUCAGUGUUCGAAGGUUUGACAGGAGACCAAGUGAUGAAGGCAAUGACCGUAGAUCCAUGUUAGUCAAGUUUACAACUCUGACCUCGAUCAUGCUCUUGAAAAAGUUGUCUGGAAUUGUUACUCGUGAAUAUUCCCAAGGAUCAUCACUUAUAAAAAGAAGUUCGAGCUGAGGACAUUCCAGUACUUCAGGAAGCAAAUUAUUCUUGAUACCAUGUAAGACGAUUGAAGUGCAAUGCUUUAUUGCACUUCCGUCCGACCAUUCCCUGCAACCAUCAACCUGCUCAUUUGUAGCAGUAAACACAUUUCGUUCAGUAGAUGCAAUUGAUAUGGCGACAUCGCGAACUACAUCAUGCAUAGAAAACAACUCUUUCUUCUGGCUUAUAUGGUCAAGCAACAUACAAGAAGCUUUGAGUGUGCGCACCAAUGUAUGUACUCGAUUUCGUGCUACUUCAAUCUUAUUCACACCUUGAAAUAAACCCAAUCCCAUACCACACAUUAACAAGUCAUNNNNNNNNNNNNNNNNNNNNNNNNNNNNNNNNNNNNNNNNNNNNNNNNNNNNNNNNNNNNNNNNNNNNNNNNNNNNNNNNNNNNNNNNNNNNNNNNNNNNNNNNNNNNNNNNNNNNNNNNNNNNNNNNNNNNNNNNNNNNNNNNNNNNNNNNNNNNNNNNNNNNNNNNNNNNNNNNNNNNNNNNNNNNNNNNNNNNNNNNNNNNNNNNNNNNNNNNNNNNNNNNNNNNNNNNNNNNNNNNNNNNNNNNNNNNNNNNNNNNNNNNNNNNNNNNNNNNNNNNNNNNNNNNNNNNNNNNNNNNNNNNNNNNNNNNNNNNNNNNNNNNNNNNNNNNNNNNNNNNNNNNNNNNNNNNNNNNNNNNNNNNNNNNNNNNNNNNNNNNNNNNNNNNNNNNNNNNNNNNNNNNNNNNNNNNNNNNNNNNNNNNNNNNNNNNNNNNNNNNNNNNNNNNNNNNNNNNNNNNNNNNNNNNNNNNNNNNNNNNNNNNNNNNNNNNNNNNNNNNNNNNNNNNNNNNNNNNNNNNNNNNNNNNNNNNNNNNNNNNNNNNNNNNNNNNNNNNNNNNNNNNNNNNNNNNNNNNNNNNNNNNNNNNNNNNNNNNNNNNNNNNNNNNNNNNNNNNNNNNNNNNNNNNNNNNNNNNNNNNNNNNNNNNNNNNNNNNNNNNNNNNNNNNNNNNNNNNNNNNNNNNNNNNNNNNNNNNNNNNNNNNNNNNNNNNNNNNNNNNNNNNNNNNNNNNNNNNNNNNNNNNNNNNNNNNNNNNNNNNNNNNNNNNNNNNNNNNNNNNNNNNNNNNNNNNNNNNNNNNNNNNNNNNNNNNNNNNNNNNNNNNNNNNNNNNNNNNNNNNNNNNNNNNNNNNNNNNNNNNNNNNNNNNNNNNNNNNNNNNNNNNNNNNNNNNNNNNNNNNNNNNNNNNNNNNNNNNNNNNNNNNNNNNNNNNNNNNNNNNNNNNNNNNNNNNNNNNNNNNNNNNNNNNNNNNNNNNNNNNNNNNNNNNNNNNNNNNNNNNNNNNNNNNNNNNNNNNNNNNNNNNNNNNNNNNNNNNNNNNNNNNNNNNNNNNNNNNNNNNNNNNNNNNNNNNNNNNNNNNNNNNNNNNNNNNNNNNNNNNNNNNNNNNNNNNNNNNNNNNNNNNNNNNNNNNNNNNNNNNNNNNNNNNNNNNNNNNNNNNNNNNNNNNNNNNNNNNNNNNNNNNNNNNNNNNNNNNNNNNNNNNNNNNNNNNNNNNNNNNNNNNNNNNNNNNNNNNNNNNNNNNNNNNNNNNNNNNNNNNNNNNNNNNNNNNNNNNNNNNNNNNNNNNNNNNNNNNNNNNNNNNNNNNNNNNNNNNNNNNGGCGACAUCGCGAACUACAUCAUGCAUAGAAAACAACUCUUUCUUCUGGCUUAUAUGGUCAAGCAACAUACAAGAAGCUUUGAGUGUGCGCACCAAUGUAUGUACUCGAUUUCGUGCUACUUCAAUCUUAUUCACACCUUCUGCUGUACCGUACAUCCGCCUUGGCCGUACAGCAGUAACCAGCAUAGUAGACCCUUAAGCUAUAUAUACUAUAAUGUCCCUCUUCUCUCAUAGAUUAAACCAAUCUGAUCUCGGAGUGAGUUGAUACCAUGACUUUGCAUAAUUCGUGAUCAAAGGAGCAUCAUUAUUAACUAAUAUAGGCUCCAUCAAUAGGCAUGAUAAUAAUUUUUUUUUUUAUCUACAAACGCUGUUUUUCAAAAUAUUAUAUCUUAAGACUUAACUAAAUAUUUUUUAACUAUGUAGAUAUAGUUUGUUUGAUCUCUUUUAAAUAGUGGAGAUUACAAACAAACAUAUGUGAAUUAGUAGUGAUGUUGAGUUCAAAAGCUUGAAGUUAAAAAAAUUAAGGGUUUCUUGAUCUAGAGAAAUUUCAAAUGAGUGAAGCGUCCUCGAAAUCGGAAGACGAAAAUAAGGAAAGGGUAAGGGUGUAUUUUCAAAGUGAUUCUAUUAGGAGAUCUUUGAAGUAGGGGUGGGCAAGUCGGGUUUUGGUUCGGGUUGUUCAAAUUUCGGUUUGGGUUUUAACCCAAUCGGGUUUGAGAAUUAAACUCAAUCGGGUUGAAAACGCCAAUCCAAACUAAACCGAACCAAAUUUAAUUCAGUUCGGGUUCAUAAUUCGGAUCGGACUGGGUUGAUAAUUCAUGUUAAAAUUUCGAUUCGGGUUAAUUUGGGUUAGAAUAAUUCAAUCUAAAAUUUUGGGUUAGUUCGGUUUAAAACGGGUUGGAACUAUUUAAUCCAAAAAUUCUACCAACAAUCACUUAAAAUCUAAAAAUCUCAAUUCCAAAUAUCCUUAACAACAAAUUUCAACUACAAAGUACAAACCAUCCUUUACAACAUUUCAACAAUAACAAUAGCAAUAAUAACAACAACAACAAUAAUAAUAAUAAUACCAACAACUAUGAAUCAGCAAUUCAACAUAUUGCCAUAUUCUAAAUUUAAAAAAACACACAAAUUAUUUAAUUAAUUAAUUAAUUAACAAUCUCCAAUUUAAUUUAUAAUAACAACAAAAAUCCUCUCAAUUUAAUUAAUAACAGUCUCCAAUUGUUUAAUUAUCAGUCAACAGCAACAAACCCAAUCUAAUUUAAUCAUAACAAUCUCCAAUUGUUCAAUUAUCAGUUAACAGCAACAAACCCUCCCCAAUUUGUCACGAACAGCCUCUAAUUGUUUAAUUAUCAGUCAACAACAACAAACACACUCCAAAUAAUUGAACAAUUAUUAAUUAAUUAAUUAAAAAUAUCCAAUUUAAUUAAUAACAACACCCAGGAGCAAGUCAGCAAUAAACCCACUACAAAAUCCAAAUAUCAGUGUAAACUAAGUGUCAAACCUUGAUCGGCGGGAAGCUACAGCGUCGGCAAAGCGUGACCGUGUGGGGCUGAGUGAGACCGUCGACCGAGGGUGUGAGAAGGGAGAAGAGGGAGCCGGGAGGUAACAUGGUGUGUGUGAGUUUAUAUAUAUAUAUAAUUUUUAAAAGCCAAAACUUAAAAAAAAAAAAAUUUAACCCAAUCCAAACGCGCACCUCAGAUUACUUCCGUGUUAAGAGAUGAAUCCCACACUCUUGAGCCUUUGUCGUCCUAGUCAACUAUCAAAACAAAUCAUUAUUGAAUGUGAACAGAAUUAUUGAUCACCCAAUUUUCAAACUUGUCAUCCUUAUUGAAUCUGCAUUCCCUUUUAAAAUUUUUUAAAAAAGUACAAAUAAUGAAACAAAGUGUUGUUCCUUCAACAGUUGAUAGAGUUACGCGGCUUCAACUUGCAAGUGCUGUCGGCAUUUUCAAACUUGCAAUACCCUUCAACUUGCUUUCCAAGAUAGCUAUAAUUAAUAAUGACAACAAUCUCCCUUGUAGUGACUAGUGAGCAACUUGUUUCGUGAAAUUAACGGCAUCUUCUCUCACAUUUAAAAAAAAAAAAUUGAAUUAUAAAACCCACCAAAACUAUAAAAGAAUUGUUAGUUUUUCUUCAUUAAAAUUAAUAGAUUGCUCCUCAUAUUGAAAAAUCAAAAUUCAGAAUAAGAAUGAUUGAUACUCUUUAUUUACUAAAAUGAAAAUAAAAUAUAUGAAGCCUACAUAUUUUUGAAAUAAAAAAAAAGAACUUUAUUUUUCAUGAGGAGUGUUGGGAAUCAAGUUCUCAUUAUUUAAACUCUCAAUUGUACCAUUAUUUAAACUCUCAAUUGCACCUCACCGAAAUUUCAUAAUUUCACUUUUGUUCUCAAUUAAAAUAUUAUUAUAGUUAUUAUUCUUAUAAAUGUUGAUGAUGAUGAUACAAGAUAAUAAAAUUAAUGAUAAUUAAACCAAUUUGAAUUCAGAGUGAGUGAGUACCAUUACUUCGCAUUAUUUGAUAUCAAAGGAGCAUCAUAACUAACUAAUAUAGGCUCGAUCGAAUUCAUCAUGCGAAGUAUAUUAUCGGCUGUAGGUAUGGAAAUAAAUUUUGUACCCACAAACACUAUUUUUCAAAAUAUUUUAAGACUUGACUUAGCAUUUUUUAACCAUAUAUGUAUAGGUUGUUUGACCUAUUUUAAAUAGUAUAAAGACAAAUUAAUUUUGAGCGUGAAAGGACACAAUUGAUCACCAAAUUUUCAAACUCGUGAUCCUUAUUGAAUCUGUAUUCUCAUUUGAAAAACAAUAAAAGAUUAACAUUAAUUUAACUUCAUCUAGAUUCCCAUUUGAAUCUGCAUUCCCAUCCCGUUGUUCUCUGGGAAUGCACAUAAUCAAAAAAAAUCCUAUCCGCAUUUUCAAACUUGUGACCCUUCAAGCUUUCUAUGACAACUAUAACGAAUAAUUACAACAGUGCUACCUAAUAGUGAGCAACUUGUUUGAUGAAAUUAACAACUUCUUUUCUCUCAUAUAUUUUUAAAAAAUUGAAUUAUCAAAGUUUUUAUUUCAAAAUUAGUGCUAUAGUUCAUUAAUUUUUCAAAUUUUCCUUUUUCUUUCCACACAACAGAUUGAUUUGCCCUCCAAAAAAUGUAUUAUAUUGUUUAAUAUUGUAACUUCAAGAAACUUAUAAUAAAUUUUUAAAGAGAUAAAUAGAGAAUGUCAGUCUCCCAUCUACUCAAAAUUAAUAUAUAUCAUUAACUCUUGAUUAUUUUUAUAACAACUAAUAACUUUCUUGGCAGCAUAAUUUUACAGUAUCAUCCUUGUUUGACGUUUGUAAGUAUAUUUUUAUUCAUAUUUAUUAUAAAUUAAUUAAAUCAUAUCAAUGAAAAUUGAAAUAAAAAUUGAAGUACUAAAAAUUAAAAAAAUAUAUUUUGGUGUGAAUAAAAAAUUGAAAAUAAAAAUAUUUUUCUUAUAUUUUUUGUUAUUUUUAAAUUUUUUCUUAUAAUAAAUGUAUAUUUUAUAUGCUCAACUUUUUCUUUUAAUUUUUGUUAUUAGGAGGAUUUUUAGAUAUAAUGAAAUUUGUAAGGUAGUAAGUAAUAUAUAAUAAUUUUAAUAGAGAAAAGUAAAAAAUCUCUUAUUUUAAAAUAUAAGGAGAAAAAUAAUUAAUUUCAAGACAUUUUAGAAGAUAUUUCAAUAUGCGGUGGACCACAAACUCGAGUCUUUGUCAUCUCAGUCAAACUAAAAGGACAGAAUAUUGAGGGCAUGGCUAAGGUGCAGAAGCUGCAAGUAACAGCUUCGAACUUUCCCAUUUCCAUCACCUUGCAUUGGGACCUCUUUCUUUGUCCUCUAGCACCCGUGGAAGUUCCCCAUUGGCCACUGUUAGGAGCUGUAACAUAGACUUCUCCGAAAAUUGAGCGCGAAGGGCUCAAGUGAUUGUUAAUUUCACAGCAAUUGCCUUUUUUCUUUCUUUUUUUUUUUCUAAUUAUUGGAAAAUAAUAAUUUAGUAUAACAAAUAUUAUAUCCUAUACUUUAUUGCUACAAAAAUUACGAAACCUUAUAUUAUAUUAUGUUUUCAUAUUUCUCCUUUAUAGUGAAGACUCAUACUUAUUCUCUAGUAAAUGCUAAAGCAUUGGCUUAAACUUUUUAACCAGCACAGUAGACCCUUAAGCUAUAUAUACUAUAAUGUCCCUCUUCCCUCACAGAUUAAAGCCAAUAUGAUCUCAGAGUAAGUUUGCUUCAAAGGAGUAUCCUUACUAACUAAUAUAGGCUCGAUCAAUAGGGAUGAUAAUAAUUUUUUUUUAUCUACGAACAUUAUUUUUUCAAAAUAUUAUAUCUUUAGACUUAACUAAAUAUUUUUUAACCAUAUAUGUAUAGUUCGAUUAAAUAGUGGAGAUUACAACAAAACAGAUGCGAAUUAGUAGUGAUGUUGAGUUCAGAAGAUUGAAGUUAAAAAAAUAAAGGGUUUCUUGAUUUAGGGAAAUUUCAAAAGAGUGAAGCGUCUUCUAAAUCAAGACGAAAAUAAGAAAAGGGUAAUGGUGUAUUUUCGAAGUGAUUCUAUUGAAAGAUCUUUGAAGAUUACUUUCGUUAAGAGCUGGAUCCCACACUCUUGAGCCUUUGUCGUCCCAGUCAACUAUAAAGACACGUUAUUAUUGAGUGUGAAUAUUCCGAGUUAUAAAUCACCAAAUUUUCAAACUUGUGAUCUUCAUUGAAUCUGCAAUCCCUUUUGAAAAAAAAAAAAGAAAAAGAAAGGAAAACUGCAAAUAAUGAAACAAAAUUCUGAUCCUUGAUAGAGUUACGCGGCUUCAACUUGCAAGUGCUGUCGGCAUUUUCAAACUUGUGAGACCCUUCAACUUGCUUUCCAAGAUAGCUAUAAUUAAUAAUGACAACCGAAGACGGCCACGUUUGCGGUACAAAAGUUGCACCAUAUUAGACGUUCUUUUUUGUUCUUAUCCGAAGUAACCGUUGGAUUCAAAGGAAAGUGAUCAGACAUUCAAUAGCUUCACACGUGGACAUUAUAGGAUACCGGUCAAAUCGGUUAGCGCUCCUCCACAUCAAACUCACAAGCAUGGCAAUCAUCGUAUUCGUAUCAGCUUGGAAACUUGUUACAAGUAACGAAGAGCAACAGAGUCCGCUCCUCUAGAGUCGGCAACAGAGUUUUAAUUAACGGCAUCUUCUCUCACAUUUUUUUUUAAAAAUUGAAUUAUAUAACCCACCAAAACUAUAAAGAAUUGUUAUUCUUCAUUAAAAUUAAUAUACUGUUCCUCAUAUUAAAAAAUCAAAAUUCAGAAUAAGAAUAAUUGAUACUGUUUAUUUACUAAAAUGAAAAUGAGAAUAAAAAUAAAAUAUAUGGAGCCUAUAUAUUUUUUAAAUUAAAAAAUAAGAACUUUUCAUGAGGAGUGUUGAGAAUCAAGUUCUCAUUAUUUAAACUCUCAAUUGUACCUUACCAAAAUUUCAUAAUUUCACUUUUGUUCUCAAUUAAAAUAUUAUUACAGUUAUUAUUCUUAUUUUUGUAGUUGUUGUUGUUGAUGAUGAUGAUUAUGAUGAUACAUGAUAAUAAAAUUAAUGAUAAUAAUAAUGAUAAUGAUAAUGAUAAUAAUAAUAAUGAUAUGAUAAUGAUGAUAAUAAUUUGAACAACAACAACAACAAUAAAUAAUAAUAAUAAUAAUGAAAAUAAUAACUAUAAUUUUAACAACAAUAAUAAUCAUUAAUAUUAUUAUUGUUAAAAUUAUUAUUAUUAUUAGAUAAUUAUUUUGAAUAAUAAUAAUCACAAGUCUAUUCUGAUUCCAGUUUAUUCCGAUUAUCGAUUAGAAAAUGCAUCAUUACUGUUUUAAUAAUAACUAAUAAUUCUCUUGACAUCAUAAUCGUAAUUCUUAUACUAUUAUCCUUAUUUUAAAAUCCACUACCAUGAGCUUGCAUCAUUUGAAAUGGUAGGUACUAGGUAGCAAUUGCUUACAUCAAAAUAUCUAGACUCACUCGGCAAAGUAUCCGAGGCCAAAACGCCAAAAGAUGGGACACCCACAUGUGCAUCUAAUUACAAAAUCUAAAGUUAAUGAAAAAGAAAAAAGAAAAAGUAUAAAUGAACGGUAUUGGCUGUAGGACAAGGGGAGGGGAAAAAGGACCAUUUUGUUUUCUUUGCUAAUUCACAUGGGGAAGGGAAAAAAAGAAAAAGACAGUUUUGAUUAAAAAACACAGAAUAUUCAAUUCACAAGCCACCAAUGCUUGUGGACCAAUGGUCGAUAUAUGAAAGUUAGAGAUUCUGGCAAAAUGAGCAAAUAUUUUGAGUUGAUUAAUGGAUUUGUUUGUAAUGCAAUACAAGAUAGCAUUUUAAAGCUGGCAAGAAAGAAAGAAAUAAGUCAAUAAUUGAGAUAUUUAAAGAAGCUCAAGUGGUCAUGAAAUCUCUCCUUAAAAACUAUACAAGAUAAUGUUAAUGAUAAAGUUAGCCAACCAAGUCGUUCAAUCAUUGCUAGAAGCAAGCAGCCAUUGAAGUUGAUAGAAGCUAAUGCAUGGAAAAAGGUUCGUUACAUAAAGGAGAUAAUGAGAAAAUUGAUGAACCCCUAUCAUCCAUGUUUUGUUUCAAUCAAAAGGUUUGAAUUUUAAGGCCGAUAUUUUGGACUGAAUCCCCCUGUCUGCUUCCAAAGGGGAGGAUGUGCAUGUAGUUGAUUGGGCCGAUGAUUGUGAUGGGAGGGAACUUUUAGCUUGGAAAUGGACCUAGCAAGCCCAUGUUUGAUUCGGUAAGUUGUGACUUCUCAUGGGCAUUUGAAAUUUUUAAAUGGCCUUUUAUAACCUUUGUCAAGAUUCUCAGAAAUCGAAUCAUUCGGUGAUUACUUGCAAAUUCGGAAAGGAAAUUGGAAUCAAACUGGGGUUCUAAUUAAAAAAAAAAAGGGUUCAGAAUCAGAAUUUUGUUCUUUUGACUGACUAAACUACCCUCAUUUAAUUUUCAAAAUGCCCAAAUUUUUAUCAUGCUCACUUGGCGUUAUCUCGUCUUGUGGGAGCUGUAGGACAGUUGAGAUAAAAGAUAUUGCUCCAGUAUCUACUGUUUUCUCAUCCUGAUCUUCAGAGUUAUUCUCAACAAUGGACAAAUUUGAGUUUAGAACAGCAUCAGAAACCAAUGACACCCAGUCGCAUCCAGCUACUUCUUCACUUUGCUCAAUUCGACAGAUUUUACGCAAAUUUGUUUUGUUCUCAAAAUAGUCUGCUGCUCCCGGAUUGUCCUCAUUACAUUGAACGAAUGAUGACGACGCUCUGUCCGUUUCUGGCUCUCUGCUUUUCUCUUUCACAUCACGAGACACCUCGUUUCUAACUGGGGUACCACCAUCACAUUUAACUGUUAUUGGCAACUCAAUAGCUAAUUCCAAUGUUUCCUCAAGCAGUUUAGAGAUAAACUCUCUCGCUGAACUCCCUGGAGUAACACAAUCCAGUUUUCCAGUGCAAUCAUCAAACAGUUGAACAGCUCCUGAAUUCCCUUUGCUUUUCUUGUUUUCUUUUCCAUGUAAAGGGAGCUCAGGCUUCAAUAUAUCUGGGGAUUUUACUAAUGAUAAAGACAACAUCAUGUAAAGGGAGCUCAGGCUUCAAUAUAUCUGGGGAUUGAUUACUAAUGAUAAAGACAACAUGCUGUAGAGGACACAAAUUGUUAUUAAACAACGAUGCACUUUUCAUUUUUCAACUGAGUACGGUAAAGCAAGAAUGGGUAAUUAGUUUUACCUGCUAAGCGAAAAUCUACACUCCCGAAGGUAACCGAUCUUGGGUGAAGCAAAUAAAGACGAAGGCGAAGUAAAAUUCACUGAGUUGAAUGAGCGAUCAUUGCUGAUAUAAUUAAAGACUGGUGAAUCCUGCAUGUUGACAAGCAUCAUUUUUAAUCUAACAUAGAGUCUUAAAAACCUGGUCAGUGGCAAAUGAUCACGACAACAAAUCUGAAGUACAAACAGCAGAGCUCAACAAAUCACUAAGAGAAAAUAACACCAGUAACCAAGCAGAUGAAAGAAAAGCAAAAUAAUCCAUCUCAAAUCACCACAUGCACAAUUUAAGGGGGUUGUGACAUGGGUUUAAGCAUGAUUUAACAAGUGCCACCAGUGAAUUCUCAGAUUGAAUUUUCAUACACAUGUCAAAUUUUCAAGUCCAACGAAUUGUUAUCUUUCUGAAGAUAUUAACUAUGCAUAGCAUGCUAUAAACAAAUCAUAUUAUUAGGGCCUUUGUUUGCUGUACACAACAUAUGUACAGAGGAACAAAUCCAUGAGCUGAAAUCAUCAUAUUCCAAAAUAUUCUACCCAAUCAACACUACAAAACCGUAACGCUAAACAGAAUUGGAGCAAUUUAAGAAAGCUAUUUGUCACACAAAGCACUAGUACCUCAGAACCCAAUUUGCAAAAAAGCAACAAAAAUGAAAAAUAACAAAUGCCCAGAUGCAAAAUCAGGAAAAAAUGCUCAAAUACAAACUACAACCCCAUAAGCUGAGAUUGACCUCAAACUUGGAAACAGAAGCGACAGUGAUCUGUUUCUUGUCUGGAGUGUCCAUUUCUAUAAUCUACUUUGUCCGUUUUCAGUCGCUCCGCCACAAAGCCUCUUCACUCCGAAGCUGAAACUCGCCACACACUUGCAAAACGAAAGCAUUUGAUUGAUUGAGAAGCGGGAAGGCGGGAAAACGAGAGAAAUUUGCUUUUGUUUUUUCUUCGUUUGGUCAUACAUGUGCGGGCCCCCCAGGUUGACAAGCGUUAUCAUUACUAUUUGCAUUAUUUGAAGGACGCGUGUCAUGCAACGACGAUAGAAAAAGUGGUGCAAAACUCCAAUUGUCACGAAAUGAUGAUAAAAUAAAAAUAUAUCGUUAAUUUUUCACUUAACAUUGGAAUAUCAUAUAAUUUUAUGGUCAUUUUCUCGCCGCCACAUUCUUUUGAUAAAAUAAUACGGUAAAACUUUUCUAUAAUCAUGAUAUUAGAACCCAAUUAACUUUGUUUCUACAAAGAGGUUAUAGCUUAAUAAAGUAAAAUUGUAAAAAAUAUUAUUUUGACUUAAUUAUCUAAAGAGUAAAUAUAUAAUAAUUAAUUAAUAAAUUAUGUCAAAUACAAUAUAUGGACUAUGAUAAAAAAGAUAGACAUAAUUUCAUAAAAUUAAUACAUAUGUUUUUGUAGUGCUGCGAUUAUACAAAGUUAUCUUAAAAGUGUAAAGAGUAAAGUAUUGUUUUAAUUAAUUUAAAAAAAUAUUUUAUUAUUAACCUUUAAUGCAACAUAGUAAUUUUUUUUCCCUGGCAACAAAGUAUUGUUCCAAAUAAUUAUUAUUGGAUCUAGAUCCUGCCCUAGGCAUUUUCUCUACUAAUCCUCAUAAACUUUUAGGGUAUGUUUGGCACGUAAGAUUAGAUUGGACAAACUAUUAUGAUUGGACUAACUUAGAAUGGAUUAGAUUAGAUUGGAUUAUAUAUAGUGCUGACUUAUGUUUGGUAUGGUAUUGGAUUAGAUUAUGUUAAAUUAAAUUUACAUAAAAUUAAAUAGUAUUUACAUUAAUAUUUGAAUUUAAAUAUCAACUAUUUAUAGAUAUUUAACAAGAAAUAUUAUAAUUAAUUAAAAAUAGCAAUUGGGUAGUCAUAAUUAUAAUAAAGAAAUAUAAAUUAUUUAAAUUAUAGGUUAUUUCAAAGAGUGAUGAUACAACCACAAAUUCUUGUACAAACUGAUUUGGCAUUAAUUCAUUUAUUGAAUGAAAAUAUAAAAUAAUAAAAAUAAAUCAUGUGGGCCCAAGAUAUAUUUAAUUCAACCAAUUUUAUCAUGCCACAUCAGUUUGUACAAAAAUUUGUGAUUAUAUUAUUACUCUAUUUCAAAUGAGAGAUAUCAUUUCAUUGAAUAAAAUAAAUAAAAUUAUUCAAAUAAUAAAUUAAUUAAUAAAAUUUAAGUAAAUCAUGAAUAAAAAAGAAAUCAAUUAAUUAAAAACAGUAAAUAAUUAAAUAAUUUUUAAUUUAUAAAUAAAAUGGUAUAAUAAAUUAUGGAAGAUACUAUAAAUACACAAAUAUUUUUUUCACAUUAUCUAGUUCUAACUAAACACACAUAAAAAUUAGGAUUAGCAAUCCCAUGAAUUUAGGAUUAAAAUUUGAAUUUAGUCGAUUAAUCCAAUACAAGUGAGCAUGCUAAAUAUGGUAUUAAUAUUUUAUCCCAGUAAUAAGUCCAAUUCUACACUUAAUCGUACCUCCCAAAUAUAAUCUUAAGGAUCUAUUGACAUGUGUCAUUAAUGAAAUUAAAUGGCUAAGAUUUUGUUUUAAUUAAUUUUUACCUAAAUAGACAUCAAAACUCAUGUGUGACUCUUGUUAAAUUUUUUCUUACAAAUUCUUUUCCUCUUAAUUCUUUAUAUUUUGACACUGAUUUCCAGCAAAUUAUUAAAAAAAAGGAGCACAAAUUAGAAAAAAGUGAUUGACAACAAGGUUUGCAUCUUAAUUUCAAAAUUUUCCUUUCUUUGAUGUUUUUGUGGGUUCUAUAAUUGUUGUUUUCACUCUAAGUUGCAAUUCAAUGAACUAAAUUAGUGUUGCUACUUUAUAAACUGCUAUUACUGGGCAUAUAAUUCUAUUGCUACAAUUUUUUUGAGUUUAUAGUUUCUGUUCUAUUCUCUUUUUGGGUUUGCAACUGCUGUUUGUUGUUUUUUUAGGUUUUAUAGUUGAUGUUUUGGGAAAAAUAAAAAUAAAUGUGAUCUUGAAUUCUUUAACUACUAUGAAACAAUUAAAUUAUUUAGCUGCUGCAUUUUCUGCUGUAUUAUUAUAGGCGAGAUGUGUGUCGAAAGGGAAAGAAUUUGCCUGAAAAAAAAAAUUGACAAGAGUCACAUGUGAGUUUAGAUGUCUUUUUUAAGUAAAAAUUAAUUAAAAUUAAAUAUUAGCCAUUAAUAACACAUGUCAAUAAAUUUUUCAAAGUCUAAGAAGAUUGGAAGAGGAUCCGAUCUAUUAUUUACUCUAUAAAAGGAAGUUCCUUGAAGACAAGAACUAUAAAUAAAUUAAUAUAAUGAAUUUAUUCUUAACCUAGUCUAAAUUGAGACUAAAAUUUUUUACUUAAAAAUUUACUAGCUAGCUUUACCUUGAUGGACUAGCUAUGGCCCAUACACAUUUCUCCAAUUUUAUUAAUAUUUUUGUGCAUAGCAAUUAGGGAUACGUGACAAUAAAUUAUCCUUUUAACAUAUAAAAAGUAUUCUCACAAGUAGUGUGCCCCUCCAAAGGGCACAGACAGACUUUUAGCCUCUUUCUUCGGUUUACCACUCCAGUUGGAAUCUUCAAUAAGAUUAAACAUUGAAUAUAUCUAAAAUAUUAGCAAUAUUUGUACUUAUAUUUAACAAAACUAGAGUAAUAUAUUGAUUAAUCUACAUAAUUUUGGGCGGGUUCUUAUGUAAUGUUACAAUUAACAUAGAUUAUUUUCACGGUAUAAGGCAAAUCUUGAGAAUGAACCCAUUUCAAUAUGGUUUCCACAAUAAAUGAACCCACUUUACUACCAAUGAAACUGCUGUACCGUACAUCCGCCUUGGCCGUACAGCAGAAACUCAUAUAUAUCCACCUGGAAAGAAGGGGUGGGGGGAGGAAGGAGAAAUCUUCUAAUUUCUUUCACCAUCAACAAAAUCAGUGAAACACAUACUAAUUCAAAAUAAAAUAAACUUUGUGAAUUGAAAUAAUGCCUGCUCUAAAGAAAAUGAUAACUGCUAUUCAUUUUUCUGAACUGCUGAUAAAAGCUUCUGCUAUUUACUUCGAAAAAAUUGAGUAACUUCAAAUUUUGAGUUUAGGCAAGAGGAUGAAUGGUAAAAGUGAGACAUUUUAGGGGAAAAGUAAAUACUUGAUAGGCCAAUGAAACAUUCAAAAGAUUGAAAUCUAAAUGAGCAAAACCUCAUGGCCUUGAGGCCCUUGAUCCAACAAUUCCACUGCUGUUGACAUGCCUGCAAGCCCAACUCCAAUAAUAGCCACUUUCAGCUUUGGUCCUCUAUAAUGUUCCGGUUCUGGUGGAAACAAACACUUGGGAGCUGCCAAGUAUACCAUUCAAUUAUCCACAGCGAUAUUGGAAAAACAUACAUGUUUGAAAGUACUAAAUAUCAAAUGUCUCCCGAAAAAAAUACAAAGCACAAUUGCAUAAGCAUUUCAUUUCCCAAUAAAUUUCAAGAAUACAAAAUACUUGGUCUGUUCUUGAGUUCCUUUAAGAAAAUUUCCACGAGAGAGCACGCAAGCCACUCAAUAACACUCCAAAGUCAGAUUUUAAACGUUAUCUUGAUCUAUAAGUACAAUCCAUGAACCAUUCUGCCACAAAUUCAAUUAAAAAUUAUUCAAGUAAAAUGCCAAAUUCUCCUUCAAUAGCCUCAAAAAUUCAUAACUAGCAAACACUACAGAACAAAAAGAGCUCCCAGCAAUAAACGCAUAAAAAUCCCACCAGAAACCAGAAAACCCAAAAGAUCAAUACUUGGUAAACAAACAAAUCAAAUCAAAUAAAACAAAAAGAAGAGAAAUUUACCAUUAACACUCAUAUCAGAAACGUUAGUAUCCAAAGAAGCCCGUACACAGAAUCUUGGAACCUUCACUUGAACCCGAGACCAACAAACACCAGUAACUGAAGUUGCAGGAAACAGAAGUGAAGAACCCAUAUUGAAAUAAAAGAAUCCAAACCCAAAGUGCCACAUCUAAAUAUGAUGGAUCCACUUAAAAUAAACAUAUAAAAAUCUUCAAUAUGAGUGCGAAAAUGUGUGGGGGAAAAAACUAAAAAGUGGUUUACCAUGCAGCAAUAUGAAUUUUAAGCUCUCUUUUCUUAUGUCACUCAAGGCAUUGGCUGGAUGGCCAAACAGCAGAGUUCAAGUGUACAAUAGAGAAUCGAAAUUUUCCUUUGUAAAUGUUCAUAAGUAUUUACCACAGAUUUUUAAGUUAUUCUUGAUAGAUCCCCUACCACAUACGCUAUAAUAUUUCUCUCCUUUUAAUUUAAAAGUAAAUCAUGCAUAAUAACGCACUUGUAAAGAAAUGAAAUUUUCGGUAAUUAACUGACAAAAUAAAAAAAAAGGAUUAUGCGAAAGAAGUUAAUAUAGAGUAAGUCGAGUACUUGACAAUCAAAGUAAUUUACUCGAGGUUGAGUAAGGAUAGUACGAUACUUUCUCAAGUUUUCUGAGGACAUUCAUGUGACAUUGGACUAUUGAUUAUAGUUAGAGAGAAGUCCAAGGAUGUAAGUGAUGAUGAUAGAUUCAGAAUUCUUUAGAAAAUAUUUUAUAUAAACUUAAUUAUAUAACUUUAUGAGUACAUUUAUUUGCUAGUAGAAACUCUGCCAAAUUUUCCGAAAUGUGAAAGUGAACACUUUUAACAGCGGCACAAAAUGCCUGUGAUAAUGAAACAAUGUGCCAUCCUUAAACUAAUAUUAUUAGAAACUAUAAGUGAAAGUUUUCAGAAAACAUGUGAUAAGUUUUUCUCGGAAUUUGUUUUCUCCUUUGUUUUGAUUUACGCGAGAGAUAGUUGUAAAGAUUGUUUUGAUAAGUUUUCGGAAAACAUGUGACGAAUCGUAGUAAAAAAUUUAUACAUAAUAAUUGAAUGAGAUCCAUGGUUCACAAUUGCAAAUUAAAGGUUGGUUUUAUAAUAAAAAUCGUUUUGUGCAUACCAAAUUAGAAAAGAUUAUAAGUAAAUUAAGAUUUUCAAAAUUUGACUAGUAUUAUAUUACGUACAUCAAUAUAAUAUAAAUUUGUUAUAUUUAUAUAUGUUAUUCUGUAACUAAUGCUUUCAAAAAUUUUAUACUUGUAUGUUUGAACAACUUUUUUUCGCUUUCUAUUUAUAUACGAUAUUAUUUAUGUUUACAUAAAUUUUCAUAUGUACCCAAAUUAAGUAUUAAAUACACACACUCUGGUAAGACACAUUUCUAGUAUCAGACAAUGAUAUUAUAUUGAAUGUAAUGCUUCAAUGAAUUUUAUUACUAUAUACUAAAAUACUCAACGAUCUUCAUUAAAAAAAAAAAAAAGAAAUUGCAUGAUUAGAAUGAUUAAAGUUCAUUUAAUGACGAGUUUCAUCAUUGACUGUGUCGAAACAGAACAGCAAUCCACAAUACACUCAACACGAGAGGCGCACACAAGCAUGCAUGAAUCUUCCACCAUUAAACCUGAAAUCAUAAAAUGAAAGAAACAAGGUGAGUGUUGUUUUACGGUCUGAAAGCCGAUUCGAAAUAAUAAUAAUAAUAGACCUUUGUUAAUAGUUACUACUAGUGGUCACUGCCUUGUCCAUCUUCCUUCUCUGUAUUAUCGUCCUCUUCCAAGCCGCUGUCAUCUGACCAAACCCCAGCAACCAUGGGAAAAAUCACCUACUUGUUUUAGGAGCAGGAGCAGGAGCAGGAGGAGGAAAUUAAGUUAGGGAUUUGGAGUGAUAGGGAAAAAGCUGAUUGUUGAGAAAUAUAUAUACCUUUUGUAUGGUUGUGUUAAGGUCGCCCUUCCAAGCCCAACUUGCUUCACUCCGCCGCUGCACUUCGUGUAAUUUGGGUGUACUUAAAUUUCCUUCAGAGAAAAUCUUCAUAUCGGGGCAAUCAUCCACCACUAAUCUUUCCAAAGAUGGGAACUUGAAAGCACAAUUGCCAGAGCAGAAGCUUGUCAACGCGAGAGAUAGUUCUAAAGAUUGUUUUGAUAAGUUUUCAGAAAACAUGUGACGAAUCGUAGUAAAAAAUUUAUAUAUAAUAAUUGAAUGAGAUCCAUGGUUCACAAUUGCAAAUUAAAGGUUGGUUUUAUAAUAAAAAUCGUUUUGUACAUACCAAAUUAGAAAAGAUAAUAAGUAAAUUAAGAUUUUCAAAAUUUGACUAGUAUUAGAUUACGUACAUCAAUAUAAUAUAAAUUUCUUAUAUAUAUAUUUUACUCUGUAACCAAUGCUUUCAAAAACUUUGUACUUGUAUGUUUGAACAACUUUUUUCGCUUUCUAUUUAUAUACGAUCUCAUUUAUGUUUAUAUAAAUUUUCAUAUGUACCCAAAUUAAGCAUUAAAUAAACACACUUUGGUAAGACACAUUAAUUUCUAGUAUCAGACAAUGAUAUUAUAUUGAAUGUAAUGCUUCAAUGAAUUUUAUUACUAUAUACUAAAAUACUCAACGAUCUUCAUUAAAAUUAAAAAAAAAAAAGAAAUUGCAUGAUUAGAAUGAUUAAAGUUCAUUUAAUGACAAGUUUCAUCAUUGACUGUGUCGAAACACAACAGCAAUCCACAAUACACUUAACACGAGAGGCGCACACAAGCAUGAAUGAAUCUUCCACCAUUAAACCUGAAAUCAUAAAAUGAAAGAAACAAGGUGAGUGUUGUUUUACGGUCUGAAAGCCGAUUCGAAAUAAUAAUAAUAAUAGACCUCUGUUAAUAGUUACUACUAGUGGUCACUGCCUUGUCCAUCUUCCUUCUCUGUAUCAUCGUCCUCUUCCAAGCCGCUGUCAUCUGACCAAACCCCAGCAACCAUGGGAAAAAUCACCUACUUGUUUUAGGAGCAGGAGCAGGAGCAGGAGGAGGAAAUUAAGUUAGGGAUUUGGAGUGAUAGGGAAAAAGCUGAUUGUUGAGAAAUAUAUAUACCUUUUGUAUGGUUGUGUUAAGGUCGCCCUUCCAAGCCCAACUUGCUUCACUCCGCCGCUGCACUUCGUGUAAUUUGGGUGUACUUAAAUUUCCUUCAGAGAAAAUCUUCAUAUCGGGGCAAUCAUCCACCACUAAUCUUUCCAAAGAUGGGAACUUGAAAGCACAAUUGCCAGAGCAGAAGCUUGUCAAACUUUUUAAGUCUAAAAGCUUCAACUCCUUCAAUUCUUUGAAAGUAAUAACCUCAUCUUUUGCCACAACAUCAUCCACCAGUACUAUUUCUGUUAUCAUAACGCAUGAUUUUAUCUUCAUAUAUCUAAGUCGCACCAGAGACUUUGCAAUUGAGGAUGUUAAUACGAUUUUCAAUCUUUCGCAACUGAAUACCACCAGAUUUGUAAGAUUCUGAAAGGAUGUCGACGAUGGCACUAGAUUGACCAAACGGUCACACCCCUUUACACGUAGAAUAACCAAGUUGUUCGUAACAGAGGACUCCCUUAUCAAAAUGUUCUCCAGAUGAUAACAAUUAUUUGCUUCACUUAUUUCUACUGCCAUGCCAUUUUCAACCUUCUCUUUCGGCGACCGGCCACCAUAUCCUUGUAUUUGGAGGACUUUCAUUGUGUGAAGUCUCUGGAGGAAGUCAUCAAGUGAUACAAUAGUCGGCUCAUCAACCAACUCCACAAAAAGAUAUUUUAGUUUGCAAAGCAAGUCUUCAAAAAAUAGAUAUUUAUUUGUUCCUAUGUACUUUGCAUCAACUUUCAACUCUUCCAAAUUAGGGAAUACCUGGGAGAUCGAUCAGAACCAAAAAAAAAAAAAUACAAGAUGAAUCAGUUGAUGAGAAUUAUAAGUUACCACUAAUUUAUACAAUAUAUUUUAUUCAAUAAAUCAAUAAAUACAAGAUAAACUUUCACAGUACAUACAUAAGAAUUGAAAAAUUGAUUAUAAAACUCUUGUACGUACCCUUUCCGUCAAGAUAUUAGUAGUUCUUUUGCAUCUCGCCAUGAAUUCAGGACAUCCAGAUAUCCCUAAUUCUUUCAAGGAUGGAAAUUCAAGAUUAUCAAGAUCUCCAGUGCAGAAGCUUGUGAACUUUUCAAGAUCAGACAUCCUCAGAGAUUGCAACUGGGGAAACGUUACAAUAUUAUUCUUCAUUUCUUCUUGGUUGUCCACGACUAUUAACUCUUCCAGGACAGGACAUUUGACUAUCAUAAUGUGUUGGAGUCGAACAAAGCUACUAACUGUACAAGAUGAAAAUAGACAUCUUAAAUUCAUACAGCUGUACAGGGUCAAGCGCGUUAAAUUCUGAAUACCACAAGACAUGACUGCA
rnacentral:lncRNA from 1 species